rnacentral:lncRNA from 1 species
AGUAUAUCAAAAGUUAACUACAUGGUAAUAUACUAACCCUUUCUACCAAAAAAGAAGCUUCUGUUAAAUGAAAGGCUGUGCUAAAAAAGACUGGUACAUUAUGUAUUCAAGGGGAAAACCAUAGAGCAUCCGGUAUUACUCUCAGAAACAAUCACAAAAAGAUCCAGAACUGCAGCUAAGAGGUGAGAAUCCACGUGGCAAAGGCUAGGGCAAUUAAGUAGGUCUCAUACAUCUUCACAGAGAAAGGAGAACAUCUGCAUAAAGUCAGGUUCAAUAAUAGAUAGUCUUCUUUUUGCAGAUGCAAAUUAUUAAGAAUAAUAUCCUGCAGGUUGUUAAUAAUGGAUUCAGAUAGUUUAAUCUCAGUUUUUAAUGGCGAGAUAACAUACUCGCGCAAAAGGAAACAACCCAGUGGACUGGCUUGACAAUUGGGAAGAGAGGCUGCCAAAAAGCUGAGGAGGAAUGCAAAUUUUUUUUAGGAUUUUCAGGACCUUGAUGCUGAAGGCAACUCAAUCAUGCAUUUUUAAGCAAAAAAAAAAAGAAGUCUUUUUUCUUUAAAGAAGAAUUUUUCCCUUGUUAGUUCCAUGUGGGGAGUACGAACCCUUGAGCCAGAUGGGUUAAUUGAGACAGAUUUGCAUCUAAUUGUUGAAGCAUGAAUCAUCUGAACAUAGACUACUUUGGACAGUUAGCAUGUUUGCAAUCCUCCUCCCCCCCCCCCCCAAAAAAAAAAAAACAAAUAAUAGGUGCUUCAAUAAAAGCACUUGUAUCCUAUUGUAUCUUUUUUUUUUUUUGGAAUCAAAGACAAGGGCAAUUAGAUAUUUUACAUGUCAUGGUGGUUGAGAUAUAUAAGCAAUUGCAUGAUUUUUUUUCUAAAUAGAUAGGAUCUAAAAUCAAUUUUUGCAGCAAUGUCUCAAAACAAGAGCCACUAAUAGCUAAUUCUCUGAGAAGAUCAUUGAAAUUACCUUGAUUAGGCGGGGGAAGAGUCCUGCUAUGAGUAGGAUGAUACGUGACAGGCGUGAGUUUCUGAAAAUAUACAUGAAAUUGUUACAGAAAAACACAAAAAGAAAAUUCUUUGAACGGUUGUGCAAAAAAUUUAAUCUCUAAGUCUAGCAACAAAAGUUACAGAUCAACAGCCAAGUAUGUGAAUAAUGUGCACAAGAAUGACUAACAGCCCCUUCAGUACACCCUACAUGCAAUUAAAGAAAUUGUUAAUAUCAUUAUGUGGGAUGACGACCGACAAGUCAGGAAUGUCCACUGUAUGGAACUAAACUUGGAAACAUCUUGACUAGAAAAUUGCUUCCAUUAACAUACAUAGCAUUGGAUAUCAGAAAAUAUGAACAGUAACACCCUAAAAGAGCCAUUCCUUGCUCAUUUCCCACUUCAGUCCACGUUAAAAUUAAUAAUGGCAUAACCAGGAUGCCCUAAACAAUUGGUCUCUAUCAACAUAUAAAGUUCCCCUGUAUCCAAACACCAUAACAAUGGUUAAAAAUCAUAGAAAAACCCACAUGCCAUGUCAGUUUCAUUCCUUCUCUAAAUCAUUUCUUAACUUUCUUCCUAUUAGAUUCAGCAUUUUAAUAGAUUCAAUUAAUGAAGACUCCUUAUUUCUCUUCCCCAUCAUCUACUUAAUUCUCUUUUUCUUCUGUUGUCCAACUGGUGAAACCACCGCCCCCCUCCCCACCUCCUAGAAAAUCUAGGGCUCGUUUGGUUCACGGAAAAAGAAGGGGGGGGAAGUGUGGUCAACGGAAAAGUAAUGAGAUGCCUCUUGUUUGGUUGGAGUUUUCAAAGGAAAGAGAUGGAAAAAUUAUAUUCCCAUGGAAAUAUGAUUCCCAUGUUUCAUGGAAAAGUUUUUUCCAUGAGAAACAUGGAAAAAUUACUUUCCCAUGGGCCGGAAAUCGCUCUAUUUUUAUUUUUUUUCCCAAAAAAUCCUUCAGCAUUAAAUAGGCAUUAAAGACCUAAUUUUUAUUAAGAGUAUAAUAGGAAUUACACAUAACUUUUCUAAAAAAAUAGAUGGUCAACCAAACAUAAGCACUCUGCAAAUCUGUCACUUUCCUAUUAUCAACCAAACAUGCCAAAAGUACUUUUCCAGACAUUUUCUUCCUAGAAAUCUGCUUCCUAGGAAUCAUAUUCUUAGGAGUAGAUAUAAUUUGAUCGUUAUGAACCAAUCCAAAAUCGUUGUGGACCGAACCAAUCAUUAGUUCCCAACCAUGGGUCGAAUGAAAUCCGAUCCAUAAAUCAGCAACUAAAAGAAUCAAAAAAAUGCUUCCCGUGAACCAAACGAGCCCCUAUAGUUUUUUAAGUUCUCUCAUUCAUUUGAAUUUUUUUAUAAAAAUUAUAUUAUAUGAUUUUUGUUUUCAAUUUUCUCACUCUUUUAAACUUAAUUUUUUAUUUACUCUUUAUUCAAUGCUCUAAGUACCAUUAUUUUUUUUAUUCUUAACACUUCAAUAUGGCAAGAUAUUUUAUUUUAUUUAUUCUCUAAUUUUUAUUUCAAUUCUUAAUAUUGGUGUUUUUGUUGUAGUUACAAUUACUAUUUUCUGUUAGAUUUCCUCCUCCCCCUACAUAGCGGGGCAUAUUGCUUGUAUUUAAUUAAUGCCGUGCCUGAUCCAUGAAACCAGGCAUUUAGUCAUCUAAACUCAAUUACAUGUUCAAAAUCAACUUCUAUUGCUAUCUGUUACAUCAUAUAUGCUUAUGCCUAGUGUCCACAUAACUUGAGCUGUUCUAGGAUUGAAACCACUUAAGCUGAACUUCUACCAUCAUGUCCAUCAAGAUGAUGGUUUUGCCUCACCUAGUCAUAUAUAAAAUGACGAUUUUAAGUGCUCUAACAAUUUCUAAUAGUACACUACUUGAUGCUCAAAACAGACACAUUAAACUAAAUAAUGACUAAGUAGAAGAAAAAGAGUUUUUACCACAAAAAAUUACCUUCCAAAGCCCAAGUGACUGGUGUUCUUGCAAAAGGAAACAAGUCACACAACAUUGAGCAAUGUCAUUUACUCAUAUGGAAUCUUCUAUUGGCUAACUCACUUAACCUAUGGGCAGCAUAAUGUAAUGAAACUAAAGGGCAAUAUACUUUCCAUUGGCUCAGUGCUAGUAGUAUUGCCAUUGACUGCACCUAUACUUCAAAUGUUACCUUGGUUUUCUCUAUGUUACUCAUGUUUUGCUUCUCUAGAUCCGUCCAAUUAACUUGAAUUCUCGAUUCAACAGCAUCUGAUGAUUCGCCCUUAAAGCAGUCAAUGCAGCUAAAAUUUUAGUUGCUAAGAGUAGUGGCAUUAUUCAUUUCAUUGCCAGAAGGGUUUUACCUGGCACCUUGAAAAUGAGAAGCUAAUUUAACACUUCAUCUGUUCUAACUAUAAGACCAUUUAGUUCUAAUGGCUUAUCUAAGAACUAAGACUAAUCUCAUUCACCAACUAUUCCUAUUAAGCACAAUCUUUUGCAGUGUUAAGCGACAUUAGCGAUUGGUGUCUAGAUUUCUCAAGGAAUUUCAACUGAGAAACUUCAAGAAAACUUACGUGGGCCAUAUUAAUAUCUUUUUUUUUCUAAACAUGCAAAGAUGUACGAUCAUAUAUAGUUAGUUGGCCCUAUAGUUCUCUAGUUUGAUAAAACUAUUAAUCACUUUGCAAAACGUUGAGUGAGAAUUAAUGACUUUCACAUAGAAGUAAUAACAUUGACAUGAAUGGUGAUGACAUGAUAGUUGGAUUGUUUGGUGCUAAGGACUAUGAUGAAGGGUUCAAGUGUCCAACAAAUCAAGAAACCCACAUUAAUAGUCCUCCAGUGUUACUAUAAGCAUUUUCUGAAUGCACUCUCGCUACUCGAACCAUGUAAGCAUAGGUAUUCCUCUCCUCAUUCUAGACCCUCUAAUAUGAAUUCAAGCAACUCUCCUUACGAAGACUCCUCAUAUUUUUGUUGUGCACACACAUACCAUCUCAUUUGGUUCUCUAUCACUUUGUCCUUAAUCAUGCAACCACACAGCACCUUUAAAUCACUGUUAUCCAGGCACUUUAAAAUCUGGGUUUUUGAAUGUGUCAGGUUGCAACGACAGCUAGAUUCUUCAUGAUACUUUUUGACAAGCACCGUGAAAGUAUUUUUCAAUCCUAAAAGGGCUCUAAUCUUGCUUAUUAUGUCUCUCAAGACUCUUCCAACAAACUUUGCUCAAGAAGGAACUCAUAAUCAACCUAAAACUCCAAGUACAUUCAAAACUUCAAAAAUAACAACCAAAAAGGUAAGUAAAGGCAUCAUAAUUUAGGAGUCAAAAGACCCUAAAUAUGACACCUAGGUACUUUCUAAUGACUCUUAAAGUUCUUUAAAAUGUUCGCUUAAGGAGUUUGGAGAGCAAGCAAGCUCUUUAGCUGGAUCAAAUCCAAAUUGUUGCAUGCUCUUGACACUAAUAUCUCAUGGACUUGAUCCUAAUGAAAUCUCGAGGGGUGUGAGAUCUGGGCUGUUUACUAACAUUCCCAAAUCAUAGCUUUAUGAGACCAAAGACAACAGAUGGUGAGAUCAUUAUCAAAGUAAGCCUAGGCAUUACUAUUAGCAUAGGCUGUACUCAUUUAGUAACAAGCAGAAAUCAUAUUCGAAGCGGCACACAAGAGAAAACCCCAUGAUAAGGAUGCGCGCCACAUAAAAGCAGCAUAGAAGGAGAAGUUUCCAUGUCCACAUUUUGCAUAGAGCAAUUCUUGUGGAAGAUAGUAAACAAUGGUUGGGGGCUGAUGUAUACAUAUCAAAACACACACGCACGCAUGCUUACAUGCAGCCAUGUUCAGCUUUACCAGAAAAGCAAAAAUUAUCAGUACUAGCUGAAAGGAAUCUAAAUAAGAAAAUUUUUUGGUGAUUCGGUUGAUCGAACAUUUGUUUGUUCCAGCACUCGUUUAUUUGUUCCUCAACCUUUUUCUUCUCUGAUUGAAGCUCAAUAUGCAAUUUCUAAUUAUUCUUCCAAAACAUAAUAUAAUUUCUACCUGCAAAGUACAAAUAAAUCUGAAUCCAAGAGGAAAGCUUCUUCAAUCGAAUCCAAAUCGGUUCCGACUAACCUUCACGGCCGGCUAAAGGUUUUCUAGUAGAACCUCACAAGAUUUGCCAAAAAGGUUUAAAAAAGAGCCCCAAAUAAAGAAUUUGAUGCAACACAGCAAUCUUGAAACGGUUCGAUAGAGAGGAAGAACUUACGGAAACAAUCCGGAUCAAAUAGAGAAAGAAGUCUAGAAAAAAGAUGACAGAGGGAAACAAUCCUGAUCAAAUAGAGAGGAAGGGCUUACGGAAGGCUGGGCAGAAGGAUCGGCGGGUCGGAGUUGGCUGAAGUUGUGAGGAUUGUAGGAGGGCCAGUCGCCAAGCAGAGACCCCAUCUGCGAUUCUUCAACGGCAGCACCCUUUAACUUCGCUCAGGCGAUAUAGGCCUUUUGAGAACUAAUGGGGCUUGGCACUGGGAGCAGAAACGAGGUCCUCUCUCUCUCUCUCUCGCUCGCUCGCUCGCUCGCUCGCGCUCGAGUUUUUAGUCCUUCUACUCGUCCUUUCGGCUUUCGCCCACAGAGGAGAAAACUCUCUCCCUCCAAGAACUCUUUUAUAAAGGGGAAAGAUGAGACCUGAGAGGGAAAGAAGGGACCAGAUGAAACUAAGGACAGCCAUGCGGUUUUCUCGUGAUUAGUUAUGGAUCUAUUUGCACCAAUUUUGAAGAACGGAGAAAGACUCACGCGGGCCUCACCCACGCUGUCUUUCCUGGAUGUCAUAUUAGUGGAUGGGUGUGAUCUUGCGUGUCCAAAAAGUGGUGCGUCAAAGUACGCACUUCUUCGUGUUUACCAUCACUCGGUCUUUUUAUUUUUUUUGUGAGAAAGAAUCAACCGUUCGAUCGCAUCUCGCACAGCUAUCGGAAUACUCCAACCUUCCUCUUCAUCCGCUGCACAAAUCUCGAAGCGGACUUUUCGGGAUCCAACGGUUUAUUUUGCCAAAUUAUUGGUGCAGCACUGGAUGGGUUAUUAUAUUUUUUUUUCCCAAGGGUUACCAUAAAACGCAGAAAAGCGUGAAAAGAAAUCAUUCAGCUGCCUUGCACCGGCGCACAUCGGCUUGCCAUUGUGAAUGAUGUGUCAAUAUUUUAUUAGAGCUCAAUGUCCUUGCUAUUAUAAAUGUCAAUAUUUUAUUAGAAGGCAAUCGAUUGGGGCAUAUAUAUUAAUUGAUGCUUUCGAGGUGUUUAUUAGAAUUAUUGCUCUCCAUAAAUUAUUCAUAAUGAAUCAUAUUUCUAAUGUAUCGCUUGGGUAUAUUUAAAUAUAGCUUUUCAGCCACGAACUGGGACAAAGGAAAUCCUGAUCAAAAUCAAGACCUUCAAGAAAAAUUCUAAAAUCCCUUUGUCCUGACUCUCACCGCUCCUCUAUAAAUUAAGAUUUAGUCUGAAGCACAAACGAUAACAGGGCAUUCAAAGGGUCGUGGCACAAAGAUAGCCCCAACUCCAUUAGUGGCUUGGCCUACGUUCAUUAAGAUGGAUAUUGUUCUUGAAAAGAAUUAACAUGGAUAGUGACCAUGGCACAUUGUUAGUUAAAGAACUUAUAACGCCUAAUUGGAUGUGGAAUGGAGAUUUGUUGGCUUCUUUGUUCUCAGUUGAUAUGAUGACACAGAUUUGCACUAUUCCUAUUGCACAGGGUCUUUGGUGUGAUCGUAGAAGUGUAUCCAAUUCUUAAGCAGCCAAAUGCAUCGUUUGUGAACACCUCCUUUAAAUGGAUUUGGAAGUCAGAUGUGCCAAUGAGAGUCAAAAACAUUUUGGUGGAAGCUAUUGUGGAGAAGGUUGCCUUGUAAGGAGCAGCUAUGUAUACUCUUCCCCUAGAGCAUCAGUUCUGUGAUCUAUGUACCACUGCGGUAGAGGAUUGCCAUCAUGUGAUGCUGAGAUGUUCCUUUGCAAAAGCCUGAUGGCAGCAACUCACUGUCAUAACUGGGGUCAGGUUUCACCCUAAUUCUUUGCCGGAAUUGGAGCAAGCUCUCUGCAACCAGGCAGAGAAAGGGUUGAGACACCUCAUGGCAUGUCUUGCCUGGUUCCUCUGGAGGGCCCGCAAUGAACAGAUAUUUCAACAUUCCUCUACAACUCCUAACCAAUUGGUGAUGAAAGCUAUAUAAGGCUCGUUUGGUUUGCGAAAAAAGAAGAGGAAAAAAUGGUCAACGAGAAAGUAAUAAAAUGCCUCUUGUUUAGUUGGAGUUUUCAAAAAAGAGAGACAGAAAAGUUGCAUUCCCAUGAGAAUAUGCUUCUCACAUUUCAUGGAAAAGUCUUUUCCAUGAAAAACAUGGAAAAGUUACUCUAUUUUUAUUUUUUUCCAAAAAAGCCCUUCAGCAUUAAAGAGUCAUUAAACAUCUAAUUUUUAUUAAGGGUAUAAUAGAAAUUAUACAUAAUUUUUCUAGGAAAAUGGAUGGUCAAUCAAACAUAAGCAAUUUGGAAAUUUGUCACUUUUCCAUGGUCAACCAAAUAUGCCAAAGAUAAUUUUCUAUGCAUCUUCUUCCUAGGAAUAUGCUUUCCAGGAAUCAUAAUGCUUUCCGCGAACCAAACGAGCCCAUAUUUAUUACCAAAUCAUGCUCAAUUUGGGGCACCAUGUUCAGCUGGAGAACCGAUCAUUGCACUGGAAAGCUUUUAACUCUUAUCAAGGAGCAACCAGGUCCCUCAAGCUUGUGCGUUGGCCUCCUCCUCCCAUGGGAGUUCUCAAACUGAAUUUCGUGUUGGAUAAAUUGAAAUAUUUAAAUAAAAGAGGGAGAGAGAAGAAAUGAGAGGAAUGGCCAUCGGAUGUGUACGGUCUCUUCUCAGAAAUAAAUUAAAUAAAAAGAAGAGAGAGGAAGGGCCAACGGAUGUUAUGGUUAUUUUUUCAAAAAAAAACUUUUUUUUUUUACAGUAUCUCUAUUGGGUAGACUUUAAUUUAAAAUUAAAGUGUCCUGACUUUACAAAUGUGCUUUUGCACGGUUCACUAUUAUGGGACAACUGAUGGUAUUAAACUUCAGUUUAAACUUAAGAGUCAUAUAUUUAUGGAUGGAAGAGUCAUGUAUUUAUAGAAAAAUCAGGUAUCCAUGAAAAAGUGUCUUUGCACCUAUUCUCUUGUGACCAAAAAUAGAAAUCUCUCCCUUUCCUUCUAACUUAAAACUUUUAUUUUUUCUUCUGGCUUCUAAAUAGUUUUCUAGAAGGUUUUUAAAUUUUUUUUCAGAAUUGCCAUUUGCAGAAUUCCAUGAAGCUUUAUUAUAUCCUAGGCAUGAUUUGCCAUAAACCCGCUAGCAAACUUAUUUGAGUAAAGAUAAAUAUCAUCUAAAAGAUAGUAAUUUAUAUGCCUCAAAGUCUUCAAUUUUUCUAUUAUUUUCUUCAUUUCAAAUCACUCUUCCCCAACAAUUCUAAGGUGAUAUUCGCGAUGGCUUCCAAGUCAAGUGCUACUUUUAAGUCAUGAAUCAAGACUUUGUCAAAUUGGAACAAUUUGAUGGAACAACUUUACUUGCUAAAAGGACAAGGUUGUUUCGCUGUGUGGUUGGAAUGGCAAUUUUGUUGUCACAAGACCAUCCACCUGGCACCUGGUGAGAACCUCAAUCAACUCUCAUGUCUUAAGAUGCAAAUAAAAUAAAAAAAAAAUAAAACUGCUAUAUAGAACCGAAAAGGAACAGAAAAUUCUGGUAUAGCUUUUCCAACUCCAGUAGGCAUGGUUAAUUCCCUAUAAGGCAGGAUAGGUCUUAAUUUGUGUGUAAAAAUUCAUAGUACCACAGGUCAACUGAAAAUGCGGUGGUUUUUUUUCAGAAAAACGAAUAUGCACCCGCCUCCUUUGAUUACCUCUUUGCUAGUCAAGAAUACCCUAAUGUAACAAUCAGUUGCCCAAAUAUUUAAAACUAAGCAUUGUUUCGCUCCAAUGUUUAUUAAAAUCAUAUUGUAACAUCUCCCCACUCUAUUUUUCUGCAUAAAGUUAAUACAAAAAUUGCAUAAUGUUUGAAAGAGGCAUUCCCAGAGUCCAACUUCGCCACAUUUUCCUGUGGACAACCAAUUAAUGUCUUCACCGAAGCUUUUUCUCCGCCAUGUUAUGAAUGAUUUUUGCUUGGUUUUUUGUUGCUUCAUGGGCACCUCAGCCAAUAAGGGAUAGGAAAUUAGAAAACUUAUUAUUACAUAACAGAUAGUUUUAUGUAUACUCAAUAAUCAAAAAAAUUGCUAGAAUAUGUGUUUGCAUGAGUGCAUGGGCACUAAGUUGCGCAACAAUACUGCAAAGGAAAUUAAGAGCGGAAAAGUCUUUAAGCCAGAGAGGAAUGCCCUUGGACCAGUUUGCAAACCGUAGAUUAGGUAUGAACAAUUUUAGAUUGCAGUUAAACAUUUGGAGCUUGUUUGGUUGGAAGGAGUUAGACUUUGAAAUGAAAUAAAAAUAAGUGACUUUCAAUCCAACCGUUUCGUUGAGAGGAGUUUCAUUUUCAUUCCGAUUCCAAAAGAAACGGAAAUACUCCAAUCCCUCCAAAACACAAUCCCUAUUCUCUCCUAGUAUUCAAAUUCCAUUCCAAUUUCAAUUCUGAUCACGAACCAAACACAUCGGAGGAUAUGGCCAUUCCUAUUUUUAUUCCAAUUCAUUCUGAUUUCAAUUCCAAUCACGAACAAAACACGCCCUAGAUAUGAUUCCUAUUCCACUGUCCUCUUCAUGUAAGUAGGCCUCGAAUGUAAAAAAAGAUCAACUAAUCCUACAAAAAUAGUCACUUCCUCUAUUGAAAUGAGUGAAAUAUACAUAUGUAAAAUAAUUAGUUUCGUGCUUCACCAUCCCUUGAGAUCAGAGAGAGGAGCAAGAGAGAGAGAGAGAGAAAAAGAUGAAUGUGGCUAUUGUUUAUGAUGGUUACAUAUUAUACAUUCAUGCUACACACACAUUAUAUAUAUAUAUAGGGCAUAAAAAUUAUAUAAUUUACCGAUCAUUGAUUAACCAAUAUGUUCUUCAACUUGAUUUAUGAACCUUUCUGCAUCCAACCACCAUUCACAAUCUUCACCCAUGUCCUCCUGCCAAACAGAGCGGAUAGGUUAUGUUGAAUUUUGCCAAAAGAUAAUACAAUUUUCUCACAGAUUUGUACGCUCGAGGAAGAUAAUAUCAACUGAAUCCCAUAUGAGUAAGAAUCUAGCUUGUCAAUAGAAAGCCUUACUUGUUGGUUGCAUCUAUAAGGUCAUGCAACCAACAAGAGUGCUAUAGAUCAGACCGGAUUUCAAUUGUGUUGACUCAUGUUGAUGGCACAAAAGAUGGAGCGGAUUCUGCUCACGUGUUGUACAUUAUGGUCAAGUAUCUUAGAAUGGCAUGCAAUAAGAUUCACUAGCAAGCAUUAUAUUUCUGAAACAGAACAAUGGAGUAUACUAGCAACAUUAAAAAACACAAUGAACAAAAAUAAUACAACACAGAACGACAUUUAUCUACAUUUGAAAUUCUUUCCCAUUUAGUGCCCUUUCUCUGUAAUUGGGGUUUGUCUGUGGCUGGAAAUGUUCUAACCUAAUCCGACCCACCUGUGGCUAAACAGUCCUUGUCAAGUCCAAAUGGCAUUCUAGUAUAGAGCAAAACUGCGAUUUAUCAUACUUGCAAAUUAUGAAGAACAUACAUGUGGUUUUUCUGGGGUAGCACAUACUGAAUGAAACUAAACCUAUUUCAUUAUUUUCAAUCAAGACAAGCCCACAUUGUUGCAUGCAAAUUUAGGUCAAUUUUUCUGGAGACCGCAUUCUUAAUGUAAAAUUGUUCUUAAAUGUUCAAGUAUGGAUGCAUGACUCAAUGACUACUAUAAACUGCUAAGAAUGAGCAUAACUAUUAUGUGUUAUAUGAAGCCAGAUCAGCUAGUUUUUUAGUAGCGCAUCAGAUUUUCAAAAUUGUAACAACAGUGGUCUGAUAAAGGAUCAAUAAACCAUGAAGGAAUAGCUUCUGAGAACUGUGCUUGAUUCAUGUUCUGACAUCACCUGCAGGUUCGGAAAGCUUUAAUUUUCAAAAUAAGUCAUUGCACCAAACAGUGUCUAUUUGCAUUAUGAACUCCUUCGGACUUUGUUGAAUAUUUUUAGCAUACCAUCUCUUGUAAUCUAUUAUAGAAACACAUUAAAACACCCACUAUUUUUCCGAAGUUUGCCACUCCUUCCAUUGCAGUCCAAGCAGACAGAACUUAGAUCUUAUUGAUCCCCAUAUUCGAUCCAAACUUCUACAGACAAUAAAUGCGUAAACAAUAAACUUGAUCAUCUUUGAUGUUCUAGCGCUUCUUCAGUAUUUUUUUAAAAAAAACAGAAAAACACUGAUAAGGUGAAGAAAAAUGUAAUGCUACGACUGCAAAGCUUGAAUAAAGCAACUAUAUAUCUGGAAAGAAAAGUUGCAUGCUUCAGUGCAAACGUGCUUUGUGUCCAGCAGUGUGAACCAAGUAGCCAUAUGCAGAUUACUCUUUGAUGCUAUGCAAAUUAUAGUUAGCUGAGCAAAUAAAUUUUUAACUGGACCCAAACCAGUAAAGGAAUACCAAAUGUGACAUUACAACUUGCCCCAGAUGUCACUGCCAAGAACCAUCAGAGCUUCAAACUAUAUGUUGCUAGAAUGUAAAAUUUUGGUAAAAGAUGCGAAAUCACAAAAAAAACACAUAAUGAAUUGGCAUACUCACCAAUUUGCUUAACUCAGCUGCAUUUCUCAUUUUCUCAAUGCAGUCAGCAUAUCUCAUGGCUUCUUGCCACCAGCUGCUGUCCUUCUUGCAGCUGUCAGUAAUCCACUUACCAUUAUCACACGAAUUGCUUUCCGUGUUAUUUCCAUCAAACUGAGUAUUGAAACCUAUGUCCAUAAUCUCCCUACAAUUUUCUGUAUUUACUGAACUGAAUAGUGCCUUGCUGUCAGGAAUCACAUCCCAUGGUACAGGACGCAAUGGAGAACGGUAUCCUAGUGCAAAAUCAUUUUGUUGGGAACAUAUAAAAGACAUCACAAACUUAGAAGGUAAAUUUAUAUAUGAACCAUCAGUAAAUUGAGCUAGUAUCAUCUGCAUACCUCUACAAUCAGGGUCAUAGCAUUUCUGGUAAUAGCCAGCCCUUUGAAAAUCAAUGAUGUACAUGACUGAACUAGCAAAAUAAUUAGGUAUUGUUUGUUAAUGCAUAUAAUAAAGCAUAAAAAAAUGAAUAGAGAAGCAUCUAGUGACCCAUGAAACUUAAUCAAGAAGCCCAUUUGCACUAACUUGGCAAUUGGCAUAUCUCAUGAAUUAUAAAUAGAGUAAAAUAAACGAAAGUACAAUCAACAAAUACUUCAAAAUACAAGAAAAUGAAUGCAGAAACGUAAAGAAUGACUAAGAAAAAUAGUAGCACUUUAUCUUAUGGACUUCCUACAUGCACAACUAUAUGAUCAUAUAAGAGAGCAUUUCCUCGAGAGCUGGUCUGUUUUGCAUAAAAGCAACACUGCCCAAGGCCAGUCCCAAGCCUCGAGGGAAAAAGUGGAAGAUUAAUAUCAGGUUGAGAAAUAGUUGCAAAAAGCACGUCAAACUAUGAAAAGGAUCCAACUUAAGACAUCAUGAGUAUUAGGAAGUCCUUGAUAUAUGUAGCACGCAAUAAUCUUGUAACAACUCAAGACCUCACCCAAAAUGGCUAGUCGGAAGAUAUUAUUUGGGUUCCUUGAUCCUGUACAAGUAUCCAAGAUCUACCCAGCGAAUAACCAAUGUGAGACUAAACACACGCCCACACGGGUCCUUACAUACUCCCCCUGUUCAAGCCUUGACGUCCUCAUCAGGCUAAGGGUUCAAAUUCAUUCAAAUCUAAUCACAAACACCACGAUCGGAUUCAUUCAAUGAAUCCGUGCUGCAGUAUCCCCUAGCCUGCAUAGGUUAUAGGCCAGAUCCGCUCUGAUNNNNNNNNNNNNNNNNNNNNNNNNNNNNNNNNNNNNNNNNNNNNNNNNNNNNNNNNNNNNNNNNNNNNNNNNNNNNNNNNNNNNNNNNNNNNNNNNNNNNNNNNNNNNNNNNNNNNNNNNNNNNNNNNNNNNNNNNNNNNNNNNNNNNNNNNNNNNNNNNNNNNNNNNNNNNNNNNNNNNNNNNNNNNNNNNNNNNNNNNNNNNNNNNNNNNNNNNNNNNNNNNNNNNNNNNNNNNGGAUCCGUGUUGCAGUGUCCCCUGGCCCACAUAGGUUAUGGGCUGGAUUCGCUCUGAGACCAUUUGUCACAACCCAGGACCUCACCUAAAAUGGCUAGCCGGAAGGUAUUAUUUGGAUUUCUUGAUCAUGUAUAAGUACCCAAGAUCUAUCCAGCGAAUAACCGAUCUGGAACUAAACACACGCCUGCACGGGUCCUCACAAAUCUAGUCCAAUUAUAGCACAAAACGAGCAAGGGUUCACUAAGUCAUCACUUGUAAAUGACACACUGUAGCAUGACCCAACUGAUGAAAAAUGAGCAAGUAGCAAGGUCAUCACCUAUAAUCGAUGUGCCAACUCAGUUGUGAUGAGAGAUGGGAGAGACAUUUAUAGGCUUAAGGUCUCUCUUAGAACUAAUGCGGCAUAAUUAUUAGAUGGUACGAGAACAAGGUAAUCACCUCGAUUGAGGAGAAUGCGAAGAAGCUAAAUGUUCAAAUGAUUUUGGUUGUCAUUUCCAUUUCAGUUGGAGAAUGCAGUCCAAUGUUUGGGGUACUAGAAGAACGUUUAACUUGCUACUUAGAAUGCUAGAAUUUUGACAGGAAAGAGUUGAGAGCUUGCGGACAUGAUGGGAUGAAGGGGAAUCAAUAUUGGUUGUUUAUAAGAAAGAAAAUUUAAGGUUGAAUGUCCAAGGACAUAGGCCAUGGUCAUGAAAUUUAAAAUUUGGGAAAUGAUGAUUUUAAAAAAAAUAAAACCAAGGUAGUGGUGGUCAAAGAAAUGAUGGAUAAAGGCAUAGAUGCUAAAAAUAAAUAAAUACCAGACAAAUAGCUAUUAAGAUAGUUUUUGAUGGAGAGGUUAUUGUAGUAAUCAAUGUGCAUGCACCAAAAGUAGGUUUAGCAAAAAGAAUGACAUAGCAUUUCUGGGACAAGAAUGAAAUGUGAGAUAUAUUAGAGGGAGAGGAUGAUGUAGAGAAUGAAUUGAAAAGGCAUGUAGGGAAGAUUGGUACAGCAUAUGAGAGGGUACAUGGUGGAUGUACGUUUUCUUAUAUAAAUAUAAUGGGAUACUUGAUUCUUCAGUUCACAAUGGCUUAUGGUCAAGAAAUUGUCAAUACAUAUUUAAGAAAAUAAACAAACAUUUACUUGUUUUUACAAUAGAUUAAAUUUGUCACUACUAUAUUAUGUUUUCCAAUGAAGAAGGGAUACAUUAUCUUGCAAAUAUUGCAAAGUAAUGCUAGAAUAAAGCUGAAAACACAGAAUAAUAUAGUAUUUUUGGAUAUCCAUAUCAGUUGUAUGAAGAGAAGAAAUGGAUCUAAUAAAAUUCCAAUGAUAGUGGGAUUUAAAAGGGAAGUUGCCGUAACUUUUAGGAUGAAUUAUUUAAGGAAAUCUCAACUUAAGAACUAAACCAAAAAAAAUGUGAGAAAUGUGGCUGAUUAUAUUAUGAAAGCAGCAAGAGAAGUUAAAGGGAGUAGAAUGGGAAAAAUUAUGCACAUAAAGAAACCUGACAGAUGACUGGUCAGAUAGAAGCAGCAAUUCAGUAAAGAAGGUUUGCUUUAUACCAUGGCAAUGAUGAAUGAUAUCAAGGGCUUUGAAAGAUAUAAGAACAUAGAGAAAGAUGGGAAAAACUAACAAAGUCUAAAUAUGUAGCAUAUGAUAAUUUAAAUCAUUGGUUAGGUUAGGUUAGGUUAGGUUUAGGAAGUGAGAAUGAUAUUUAUAAGUAGCUAAAAUGAGAGAGAAAUCUAAAGAUAUGGAUCAAGUUAUAUGGAUUAUGAAGGAAUAAAAAAGAUAAAAAACAAUUUCAAUAAAAUAAAAAAAGAUAAAAAGCUAUUUCAAUAAACCAUUAGAUGAAAGUGUUAAAUAAAUGAUGAUUCUACAAGAGAAAUUUGUACAUAAAAGGCAUGGUUAUAGAGUUAUCGAGUUCCUAUUUGUACAAUUUAUAAAGUUGAAGUGGAGAUAACUUUGAAAAGGAUGCAAAAGAUUAUUGUAAUAGGAAAAUCUAAGAUGUUGAUUUUGUUUUGAAAACAAAAGAGAAAUUAGGUUAAUUUGCUGUACUAAUUUAAUGAGGCUUUGAAAACUAAGAAGUUGCUAGGUGACUAGUGGUGUUGCGGUACCACCUAUGAGUGAAGUUGCAUAAAACUGCUCCAAUUAUUGUGUCACAAAAUUAUAUGACGCUUCAUUAAGAUUAAGAAAAUCUAUGCCAAUCCCAAAAAAUCUUAAUAUCUUAUGCUAGAGAAAUCAACAAUGGAGAUUAUCUUUUUCACUUAGAAUAUUGAUAAAAAAUAUAGAGAGAAAAGGAAAAAGGUCUAAAUAUUGCCUUCAUCAACAUAAAGAAAGCUAACGGUAAGGUAUUAAGAAUUUCAUGGGAUUUAAAGAGGAAGUUGUGCACAAAUGUUUCAUUGAAGUUAUUGUCAUGCCUGCUGGAGCAAUGGUAGGAAUUACUUGUUAUAUCACAACAAUUGUAUAUUCCAAUCACAAAGGUCUAGCAUUAAGUAUAAAUAUUAAGAUUCUAUCUUUUCAUUCUAAUUAUAGGUGAUUCACUGCACAUAUAUAGGAAGAUGUACGAUGGUUUUAUACCAAGGAACGAAAAAAGGAGGAUCAAACCUGCAUUGACGAAGGGUGGGUACGGUAAGAGCCAAACUGAAAAUUGUACUGAUGAUGGGCUUCAAUGGGUAUUCAUAGGUACACCCCAAAAUUCAUGAUAUGGCUUUUUUGUCUUCCACACUCCAGUUUAGGGUUUCUUAACAAGUUUUUUUUUUUUGACUUGGACUAUUUUUGCAAGGAAGAAGGCAGGAGUAUUGAGUUAACUAUCCUAGCUAUAGUUUCUUGUGCCUGUUGAAGUAAAAAACAUGCAUAAUUAUCACAUCAAUAACAUAUUAUACACUAUCCAAAUACACAUAUAAUUUUUUAUAUUAGGAUUUUAGAUUUUUUUAAGACGAGGUAGAAGCACAAGUUCACUGCACACACCUACUUCAUGUGCACAGAUGUUUCACUUCGUCUUUUGAAGAUUUAAUUCUCAAUUUUAACAACAUAUAUUUUCAAUUAAUUAAAUAUAAAGGUUAAAAAAUAUAUUUUUUAAAAUGCAUAACCUAUCCAAGAAAUCAACAUAUAAUUAUAAUUUCUAAGGAAUUUAUAAAUAACUAAUUCAUAAAAUUUCUAAAUUUGAAAACACAAAACAAAAUUCAGUAACCCAGAAAAUCGCAUAUAAUUAGCUAGCAUAUGAUGCAUAAUUCUUUUCAAAAUUAUAACAAUUUGAAUAUUUUAAAAUAAUAAAUUCAGAAAUUAAUUUAAAACAUUUACAUAAUCAAAAAAAUAUCCUUAUGUAGGGAAUUUGUAGAUCAGCCCAACAUAUACAUCAUAUAAAAAUAUCAACUUGAACAAAAGUGUCUUUGUCGGGUUAUUUUUGAAUUCAUUUAAUUUAUGGGCUUGAUCUCUAGCGGAGCCUGAACAGCUAAACUGACUCCAUUGUUGGUAUAUGAAAUUACAGGUGCAAAGAUGCUACCAAUAUUUUUCCAAGCUUUACAUAUUAUUUUUAAAAUUAUUUUUCAGUAAAAUUGAUUUUUAAAAUAAAUGACAGUAGAGGAUAUAAUUCACUGGGAUUAUACCUACAUCAUAUCUGGAAACCAACUCAAACAAACACCAUUUGAUUGGACUAGUUCUAGAUUAAACUGAUAUUUUGGUGUAGGUUUUAGGGUUAGCCGCAAAACCCCAAAAUCCACAUAUUUGUCUUAGACUCAUGGUUUAGAGUAUGAAUCCAAACACUACAUGACAUUUAUACAAAAUUUCGAUGGAGUCACCUGUAUAUUUAGCAAUUAUUUCGGGAUUUAUCCCAGAUUUUAAAAAUAAAAAAAGUGAGGGAAGAAACAUCUUACCUUGAGUUCUUCAAUUUAGAGGUCUCAAAAUCUUUGAUUUGAAGAAAAAGAAAUACAAAGGCCCCCUCUCCUUGCUCUCACUGCAGAAGCCCAACAAAAUGCCAAAUGGAGAAAGAGGGCUUCAGAAGGGCUCCUAAGUGGGAUCGCCCGGUCUUGCCCUUACCGGUAGCUUCAAGGGAAAAACAAGGCCAACCGAAUUACUCAAUCUUAGAGCAAUUCGGGUAAUUCAGUGUACAAUUUAAUUGGUUUCCCCUUGAAUCGAGUCUCAGUGAACCAAGACACCUUUGGAUCCUUACAAACUGGUGGUUUCAUUUGGUUAGUUCCUCAAUCCUUGGUUUAUAUUAAUGCAAGUAAUAUAGUGUUGUUUUGCAUUUAUUGAAGAAAGCCUAAAAAGAUAAAGGACUUUAAAAAUCAAGAGAGUAACAACAAAGUAUAUGAAAUCCAAUUCAGUGAAUAUAGAAAUGAACUCCAAGUUAAGAUUGACAAACAAGAGACGGCACUAUCAAUCAGUUUCAUUUUGAGGAAUCUGUUAUACAAAACAAGGUUUUAAAUUCCGUGGGACGAGGCUAUCCCGGUUUUCCUAUGGAACAGGAUGCGCUGCCAUCUUGCCCCAUUCCGAUACUAGGGACAGAGAAUGUCCAAGACAUGCCGAUCGGGAUGCUGGGAUGAUGGCUAGACGGCCUUGUGUCGACACAUGGGAUGGUACGCUAUCUCGGUGUCCUACGGGACAUCCUGUCGGGAUGUGAAUCCUUGAUGCAAUAUAUAAUUAUAAGAUAAAUGAAGAAAUGUGCAACAAAAUUAGAAAUGGUUAUGCAGUCAAUAAAUACCUUGGCAACCUAAAUAGAACAUAUCAAGGCCUCGAAGUACUAUAAAGAGGGUCUAGGAAAAGUUAAAUAUACUAGGAAUGACAAUGUGUAGAUGAAAGUGGGGUAAAACAAGGAAAAACACACACACACACACACAUAUAUGCAUAGAGAGAGAGGGAGAGAGGGAGAGGGGGAGAGAGAUGAGUAUAUAUAAGGUGUAGGACUUGUGCAAAUUUAAAACAGAGUGAUGGAGAAUUAAGAGGUACGGCAUGUAUUUCAAGAAUCCAAGGGGAGCUGUAGCAAGGAAGGUACUUUAGUUUUUGUAAAAGAAUGCAAGAAGAUGGGAAGAGCUAGGCAACAUGAUGGAUGUUGUGAGACAGGAAGGAGAAUGCUCUAAAUAACAUCAAAGUCGGCCCUAAAAAAGAAUGCUUGGUGAAUGUGGAUACAUAAAGCUGAGGCCAGAUAGUUAAGACUAGGCUUAACAGUCAUGAUUAUGGUUUUAUGUAGAGGGCAUUACCAUGAUAAGGAAACAUCAAAAAGAAUAUAAACAAACCAAACUACAACUUCAUAAAGUAAACAAUAAAUUAGCUCACAAUGGUAAAUGCAUCAAAUGUUGGGUUCUAGACAUGCUGAGGGCAGUCCAAAUUCAUAAACAGGUUACAGCCAAAGCAAUCUGAAGUUCGGAUAGAAGAUGUACUAUGCUAUUAUGAUUAUGAUGAUCAAACUGCAGCAUCCAGCCCUAGGCUAAAACAUUAGAUAUGGCUUUAGGGAUAUUAAUAUUACCAUACAUUUAAUUCAAUUCAUGUUAUUGAACAAAGCAAAUUCGCAGGGAAGAAUUUAAUUUGACUAUUCAUCCGUACUACAAUUUAGAAGUCACUCGAUGCUAGAAUCAACAGCAUGAAGUAGUUCAUCCCAAAAUUAUAGUGUGCCAUUGUAGUGCUUCAGUGAAAAAACACUUUAAUAAUGAAUUAAUGUUUCUCGGCAACCAUAGGUUUUUAUAGUUCAAGCAAACAUGACACAAGGAUUAUGGAAUUCCUUUACUUAGAAGAUGUACCUGCCACUAGAAUACCUUAUACAGAAGGAAUUAUCAUACUUCAUAAUGAAAAACCCCAAUCAGAGAGCCUCAUGUUUGGAGAUCAGAAAAACAAUAUUAUCAUGAGAACCUCGCAAAGAUAAAACAAAAGAAGGGGCAGCUAUAUCAAUAUGAACAGGGCCACCAAGUUGCCCUGCUUCACUUUACAACAAAGGGUGAAUUACCACUAUAAACAAGACCACAAAGAUGACACCAUGUGCAUCCUUUUUAAGUGUCAACAUGUAGCAGUAGUUGAAAAAUAACUUAAAUAAUUUGUCAAAAGCAAGUAAUCUCUAGGAACAUAAGCAUCCAAGGAAGAUGAAAUUAGAUGAAAUCAAAUAAAGAUGAGAUCCGGCUCCAUAAACAUAUCUGAAUAUACUCUUUUUUUAAUAUCAAGUUACAGUAUUGGUGGCUGCAUUUUUUGAUCAAGAAAAGUCAAAAGCCAGAGGCUAAAUAACUGCUCGCAACCAUAAUUAUAUAAGUCAUAAAAGUCAAGAUUGCUAGCUGAUAGUAAUAAUUGAACCACCAAAAAUCAGUUAGUGACCUUGUGACCAAGGUACGCAGUACCGACUGUACCGAUGUACCGGUGGGCAUCGGUACCGGUACGGUACCGAACCAAACCGAGCCGAACCGGUACAGUACCGAUGGGGCUAAAAGCCAAAAAGAAUUUGGAGCAGGUACGGACUGGUCGGUUCGGGCCGGUACGCGGUCGGUACGGGCCGGUACCGGUCGGUACGGUUCGGUACCGAAUUAUGUAGUUAUACCAUACCAGUAGGAUCCGGUACCGACCCGUACCGACCGGUACCGACCCGUACCGACCGGUACCGACCCGUACCGACCGGUACCGACCCGUACCGACCGGUACGGCAGACCAUGCUUGUGACGCAUUCAUCCACAAAUUUAACUAGAUCAUUAUCUGUUUGAAUUAUAAUCAUUGUCGACAGUACAAGGUAGACAAAGUCAUAGAAGGACUAGAGCAGAGCAUGAUACUUUGACUAGUUUGUUCCUUGUGUACUUGGACUUGAAAGUUUUUAUUAUUAUUAUUUUUUGCAAUGAGAUGGCUGAAAAUUGUUUUUCCCCUCAAAUGAUGCAAAUAAAUCUCUAGCAAGAUACUGGUUAAAGGAGUUCAGCUACUAUCCAAUUAACAAGCUUCCAAUUCAUUCACCACCAUUCAAAUCCCCAGCUCAAUUUCUACAACCAGAAUAAGGAUUUAUGCAGAAAAAAGAAUUGAUGUACUUCCCAAAUUCAGGCAGCAUUAAGGAAAUAGUCAAUAAAAUCAUUGAUAAGAAAGAUCAUGUUCUGGACAAGUUGUUUUUGCUAACCGUCAGUGUCCAGAAAAUGGGACAUUGUAAAUGACCAACUAUUCAAAGAAUAGAGUAAGUCAGGUUUUUCAAUUUUUUGGUCGAAAGAAGAGUUCAAGACUUCAUCACUGCUAGGAAAUGGCAGCGACCGACCUCCAUAGACAAAUGGAAAAUUCAGAUGGCACAAGGACAAUAAACCAUGUUAAGAUUGAACAGAUGGGAAGAAAGAGGAAGAAGAACAUAGAGCUUAGAGAAGGAAGGGCACUUGGAGCCAAAAAGCGAUACGUGAAUGCAGCAUAAAAAUGAGGAUGCAUUAGAAGAAAAGUGAGUUUUGAGAUCACUUAAUUUUUAUAUCUUGUCAAAGUGUGCAACAAGUUAACAGCUAAUGGGUGUGCGUCACACUAAAACAUUAUAAGAAAAUAUUGAGAUGCUAAUAUAAUUAUACACAUAUGGAAGUAACUGAACAACUUUGAAGUUAAGAUUCAAAAACACUGUUUCAUUUUUGUUUCCAACCAGACAAAAUGUGUUUUGGCUACAGGGUUGUUUUGGUGGUUGCACUCUAGUUUUGUUAGUUUCAAUUGGCAAUUGUGAAGAAAUAUAAAAAGAAGAUUAAAAUUAAGAAUAUUAAAAAAUAUGAAAAAAAAUAAAAUCAUUCAAGAAUAGUAAACUAGAGUCAUCAUUUAAUGAACUAGUAUAUGUUAGAACCUUUAACAAAUUAAUUUGAUAGUUUUGCAUUGAAAUAAUUAAAAAUAUUUUUUUUCCAAAAUAAAAUGCCAUUGCAUAAUAUUACUGGCAAUCUAGCAUCUGAUGAUAGAAAUGACUUGAAAAUUUGAGCUUUAGAAAGCCAAACUUCGGACAUGAAAUUUUCUUUUCUUUGAACCUCUUAGGAACAUACUACGACAACAUUUUUCACCAAAUGGUGUCAAUACUUGCAAAAUUCAAAUUUAAUUCAAAGAAACCAAUGCCCAACAUUUAAACAAAUGAAGAAAUGCAAAUACUACGAACAAAUAACCUAUAAAUUUGUCACUGCAAGGUAGUUUUAGUUGAAAGUGACCCCGACAUUGUAUCAGAUUCAGGCUGAAACUGCAACUUCCAAUUAUGGUUUCUAAUGAGUGAUGAAACAUCCAUUCAAUGAACAGUUCAACUCUGUGUUGAUCAAAACUUCUGGUUAGCCCUACUAAAAACCAAUCACAAGGACAUAUCAUAACAACUCGUAUUGAAAACUUUAUUUAUGCAUCUGUGUUCAUAAUUUUGCCUUUUGGGGAUGGAAAAGUCAGCUCAUAAUCUAGACAAUACAAUUAACUCUUAAGUCACCAUAGAUGAUUGUCAUUUCGAAAAUUGAAGUUCACAAUUUUCUUAAAUUGCAAAAAGGAAAAUGCCAAUUACACCCUUAUUUGGUGUAGAAGUUAAGUUCAAAAUGCAUAUUUAACAAAAAAUUAUAAAAAGAGAGUCCCUACGCACGGUACUUAGUUUUUGUACAGCAUUGAAGAAAGGAUGGUAAAUUAAACAGUAAGUCUUGAAAAAUAGCAUUGGUGGAAAUAAAAAUAAAGAGAACAGUACAAUCAUACAAUGUAAAAAAGGUUACCGUGAUUGCUUUUAUGUUCUCUUCCAAUCCUCUCACAAUAUCUACUUUUUGACAUACUAUAGACCAUCAAACCACAUGCUGAAAACCAAUACCAACUCCGAAUUCUUCCUGUAAUAGCAAAAAAGAACAUAACACAAGAAUGUUUAGUACUUUAAUUAAUUCAAUCAUACCAAAGUCAUAAGUUUUCAGUAAGAUCUGAGAAUUAUGAUGUAUUUGAAUACCGAUAGAUGCUAAUAUUUAGCCCUUUUAGCUAUAUAGAAGUAAUAUUUAGAAAAAGAAUUAUAUAAACUUGCACACAUACUCAAAAAAGGAAAAACCCAAGGCUUGAAGAUCCACGAGAAUCAUUUGCACCCUAAUUUUAACCAAAUGGCCAGUUGCACAUCUAAUGUCGUUCAUGAAGAAAAUUGGAGGCUAUAUGAACUAAAUCUUGUCUCCAUUUGGUAAAAUCAAAAUAAAAUGUGCUGGAAGAAUCCUAAAUUUUGUUAGCGAUGCACACAAAUCCUUGCAUGGUCUCUCAAGCACGUCUAGCUUGAAAUCCUUCCCUUCAUGUGAAAUGCAUGGUACAAAAAGAAUAAUGCUCACUAAAAUAGCACAUAACUGCAAAUUGUAGUGGAAAAAUAACAUUACCUAAGUAGGAAGAUAGUCAAAAUUAUUUAGGAAUAAGUGAGACCAACUCAGACAUCCUUUUACUGAAGCUUCAAGACAUCUCAUGAGCUUACGAUAUAAGUGCUCUAUACUAUACAUGUAACUAAAUCUAUGUUAGUUAUUCUAUUAGAAUGCAGUGCACUGAAAAUAUUUACCUAAACACGAAUCUGAUCCAAUCACUCAUUUGGGCACUUGGCUCAGAUUGUAAUUCCGUAAUCAGGUUAAAAAAUCUUUUCAAACAUGACCUAACAUUUUGUGUUCAGGUCAGAAUACAACAUAGUAUUAGGUAUAGGAUCUAGGUGGUCUGCUUGCAAAAAGUUUACCUUUAGGCUGUGCCUGUAGCAUGUUGAUGGCCAGUUAAAGAGUCAUACUAUUGUGAUGAAGCAUGCAAAUGUUGCGGAAAGAACUGACAUAAAAUUACACAAUUUCAGAGGACUUCAAGCAAAGGGUAACGAAAAUAUCAAUAAACAAACCAUCGACAUUGGAUUUUCUUUAAUGCAUAUUACCUCCUAAUUCAGUCCAUGUAUUCUCAUGGCUGGGCAGUGGAACCCUCCUACGGCAUAUGCAAUACCCUUUAGUAACAAUCAUGCGGACCUGAAUGACCACUUAUAAUUUGAUCUACUAAAUUGGACUAUGCUGCUCAACCUUCAAAGUGCAAUGGGUAGAGGCAAGCAAUGAUCAUUGUACAUGAGAACGUAAUCUCUUUUGAUGGUGCCAUUUCGACUAGAUGCACCAACAAGUUAACCAAAGUUCAGUUCUCAUAUGAUUGGCUUGAAUUUCCUGAAGUGCUUCACUAGGAUUUAAAUAUCUUUUACCAUGCUAUCAAUCACAUUUUAACAUAAAAUAAAAUACACUUGUUAUACAUGCAUAAAGAAAUCAAUAAUCUGAUGAAUCCAACAUAAAAGUCUCAUAUAAAAAGAAGCUUCUUUUUCAUCGCAUUUCAACAAUUUUGUAGCGAAAGCUACCUAAAAAGAGCCAUUUGGUUGUUUUUCUAUUUUGAGUUUUCAUUUUUAAAGAACAAAAAUUUACUAUUAGCAUCAAAACAUCUUUCAGGUUUACCAUAUAGUAAAGAUUCUUUUUUGCACUUUUUUGAGUUGUCAAAAAAAAACACACUAUAAGGAUAAUAGACAUCCCUAGUGAGAAACAACAUAUCUCAUGUUCUAAAUGACAAGAAAAAGAAAAAGACAACCGAAAAAACAAAAGACAAUAACAAACUUCAUAACAGCACAUAUCAAAACCAAAAUUUGUUUAUGCACAAGCAUAACUGAAGGGUGUUUUCCAGUAGAAUAGUAUGAAAAGGGAUGACAAAGAAACUUCUGAGUUGAGCAAGAUUACUAGAGAAGGAGAAUGUUAUUCCCUACCAAUGACUUUGGUAGAGGAGAUAAGUGGGGGAAUAACCCCCCAAAUGGGGAUUUAUCUCAGCAAACGCCCCAAAACAGGCUACGAAAUAGCCUUAUUCAGAUAGGUCCAAAAAAUGAUAUGCUCACUUAUUCCCUCCAUUUCUCCCUCCAACCAAAUGGGACUUAUUCAAUGAAAUAGGUUAUCUGUUCAACAGUAUAGAGGAUAACCCUCCAAAAGUUAUCAACUCUACCAAACACAGACUACAGGUUAGAUAUUCCUAUGCAUAUCGAAUAUGAAGUGUUCAUUCCUAUGUCAACAACUUUGUCCCACACCAAAGGAUUCAUCAGAUCAUAAUAAUGACUAAUUCAUGCACAUUCUGCCAAUCAAUGUAGAAUGAUGUAACAGCCCAGAUCUAGCUUGUCAUUAGAAACUUUUCAGCCAUCUCAUUUCCCUCACUUCAAGUGGUCAAGAGUAAUUUUUCUGGAGACCUCCAAGAAAGCAUUAAUUUGCAUUUAGUCAAAGUAUGUCUAAAGCAAUUAUUAUUAUUUUCAAACUUUUGAGGCCCAAUUUUGAAGUUGUCGGCUCCGUGUACUCAAAUAAACUGCCAGUUCUUCUUUUUGCUUCCUAAAGGACCUAAACCAACAUAAGGUUGUCAACAGGACGAUCAAUGGGACUCACAGCAAUAUUUCAGGCCACACCAUUGUAUAGGGCCUACUCAAAAUUUUCUACGUGCCUUUUCAAAAUCCCAGAGCAUUGCCAUUAACUCUAGCUGUGUUUCAGUAUUCAACUCAAAACCAGAAUAACAUGACUGUCAUUUCCCUCCUUAAUUAACAAUUUCUGAAGUUUUGAUUUGGACAAGAUAAAGAUGACCCACAGGACAAAUAUCAGUCUAAUCUAAUAAAUGACAGUGUUGAACCCAGCUAUGAAACAUCAGAAUAUGUCAACUCAAAAGAAAGGGAUCAAAAACAUUAAUAUUUAUAUGUAUUUAUAUAUAUAAGAGUUGAGCUGCACAACCAUAUUAGGAAUAUUUGAGCCUAUAUCCUAUCCAAGUAGUAGAAAUAAUGGUUCACCUAAAAUGAAACAGCAUAUCAACGAUCAUGAUUUGCAACAUAUAAAAUCCCUCAGAACCAGAAAUUAGAAGUUUAAGAGCAGCUGGGGAAGUGGAUUUGCAUGUGCCAUGGGAAAGCAAGUGUAACAAAUCGGGACCUCACCUAAAAAGGCUAAUCAAAAAUUAUAUCUUGAAGUCCUUCGUCCUACUUAAGUGCCCAAGAUCUUCUCAGCGCACAACCAAUGCGAAACCAAACACAUGUCCAAAUGGGUCCCCCCUCCCAAAGCCCAAAAAAGGCUAGCCGUAAUUUGUCCAAAUGGGUCCUUAGCCUUGCUUAUGUACCCGAGAUCUCCCAAGGACUCAAUUGAUGUGGGACUAAAAACACACAUGCACAAGUCCUCGCAUGCAAAGUAUAAGUUCUAGCAAGCCUUUCUGGUGAUGUCCUAGGUCAACAGGGCCCCAAAAAAAUCAGGAUGUGGAAGCAUCUGGAAAGAAAUUCUAUAAAUAUAUUGUAGAUUAUUUGGUUCUCGCAGCUUGAAGAAUUUAAGUUAUAACAAAAAACUAACUAUUUUUAUAGUUAUGAUAAUCAGGAGUUGAUCUGUGGUAACAUAAGGCAGCAAGGUACAUAAUGGAAGAUGGGGUUGGAAACGUCAGGGGAAGAUAAUGUCAAAGGGGAACAAGGAACCAGUAGGGUGUGGCACCCCAAGCAGAACAGCCUAGUAUGGGACACUCUAAACAUCAAUAUCUUUAGACUAAUUUUUGCUGCAAACAAUAUUUAGAUUACAUCAUAUGCAUAAAAUGCUGCACUCUGUCAUUAUUGACAUUUGAGCUAACUUCUAGAAAAGUUUUGAUCAAAACUUAGCAAUUAAGUCUAAAUUCAUUCUCAUUUAUGUCAUAUUCUAAAUUAUGAUAUGGAAAUUCACGUUUGCACGCACGCGCGCACACAUAUAUAUAUGUACAUGUAUCUAUAUAAUUCAAGCUAUUGAAUGCCAAGAAUUUAAAGCAAAACAUAGCAAAUGCAAAAACAGUCCAACCUGGAACAUUUCCAAUAGAGGCAAUAGAUUCCACAAAUGCAUCCAAAGCUGGAAAUGGCGACUUUCCUGAGAAGUAUGUGCUUGGAAAAUCACUUCUAUAAGCAUUGAAUAAAACAGUUUGUGGGGCAUUUGAAUUAGUUUCAUGAGCCUGGUCAAAGAAUAAAUUAGUAAAGAAAAAAAGUACAGCAAAUGUUUGAAGAGAACAGGCAAACAUUUCAUAAACAAUCAAUGAUCAAGUUCAAUAAUCAUUUUAAAAUUUGAACUGUGUAGACAUCUGAUACUAAGAUAUACGUACACAAAAUUAUGAUUGGAUAAAAGAAAAUCUCCUUAAUGCCUCAAAAUUGUAUCUCACGAGAAAUAUACCAUGGCUUUGGCACUCCAUUACUUUUCUCCUUGCAUUCAUUAUGGAGACACCUUGCAACUAUCAUAUAGUCGCCAUCCACAAUUGACGACUAUAUGAAGUCUUCUGUCCUCAUCCUUAGCUAAGCCAUAUUUAAGGAACAAGGAACAAAAGUCUAUGUACAUACAUACAUAUUAUACAUAAGCAUGCAUGGAUAAAAAAAACUUCCUUAAUGCUUCAAAAAAAAAGUUAAUCUCAUGCAAAACAAAUCAUUUGUUAGGUAUCUAAAAUUUUGUUGUUUGAUUCCUUAGACUGACAACUUGUCAACAUUUUGGCGAUAUUUCCUCAUUUGAAAUCCAAUAAUGCAAUUCAGGAUGUGCUGACUAAUAUUACAGAUUUAACAUUUAAGUUUAUUGGACCCUAUUGAGUUAAGUGCCACCAUAUUACCCUAUUUCAUUUGGAUUUGAAAUAUGGGGUCAUCCACGUUACUUUCUGACCAUUAGUUUCAUCUUAACAUGAAGUUUGAGGUGUGCAUGGUGUACAUUUCCAUUCCACAUGAUAAUCGCUUGGGAGUCUCAUCCCUAUUCAUCACUGACAAAUCUGGCAUAUAAAGUAUUUACUUAAGAUUAAACUAGAAAGUUUUGCAAUUUUGAGAACAUAGAAGCAACUAGGAGUCCAAUUAUAGGAAAUCCAAGAGUAAACUAAGAAAUUGAGGAUAGAGAACAAAAACAAUGGACCAUCCUGCCUCGAGAGUAAAUUCACAAGAUUUGAGGUCGAUUUUACACGCCGAAAUUUACAGACAUUAGCCAAGCAAUAUCUAAUUGUAGCGGCAUUUUCAAAUUUCCUAGAUUACAAUUCAUCUAUUGGUAGAUAGCACUUGAUGCAAUGAUAAUCAUAUCAAGUUCAUAUAUGUGUGUAGUUUAAUGUAUAUACAUGUUAGUCUUAAAAUUAUCUAAAUAGUUAUGUUAAAUAACAAGAUUGUGUUAAAUACUAUGUAAAAGUUUAAAUUGAGGUUUAACAGAAUAAUGUAACAUUUAAAUUGGCUUUAAUAUAUUCUUUAAAUAAUUUUGGACAUUCAGUUCAAAAAUGUUUGUACCAUGCUUCCAAUGAUUCUAAACAAUACAAAAUAUUUUGAAAUUAAGUGAUAUAUGCUUUUUGGCUUGCUUUAUCUUAUUAUUAUUUGUCUAAUUUUUCCUUUUUUUCUACCUUCUUUAUUGAAACUCGAAAACUUGGAAAACUAAAGCUCAACAAGUCGGACCAAAACCAAGUUUUCAAACUUUGAAACUUGCCAUGAUUGACAAACAAGUCUAUUACCAACAGAGUUAUUGGAUAAAGCCAUCAGAUUGUUCUCAUAGUUCCUGUAUUCUUGCUUGUUGUCUCAGUGUCAGCCAAUCAGCAGCCACAUGCGAAAAGGUCUUUGCAAUAUGCAUCAUAUCAUCAAACAUUCAUGUGGAACAAGCAUGCAUACGCUUUAUCAUUAGAACAUAAUCAUACAAGUGUAUAUUUCUCUUCAACAUGCAAGAUAGAAGUUUGUAUCAAUGUUCUGAAUCCGGUGAAUCUAGCAAACUUGUUUGGUGGUGGGAUCACAUGUUCCCAGUUCAACCAUGGGUUAAUUGCAGCAGGAUAUUUUGAUUUUUACAAGUGUUAUCCUUCCCUCCCAAAACCUAGACUAGUCAUAUCUCCUUCGGUCCCUUCUCUUCUGUUCCCUCUUCUCCAUGUCCCACCCUGCUUACCUGUGCCCUGGUGCUUGGAUCUAGUCCUACUACACAAAGAUGAAGAAGAUCAAGAAAGGAAGACAUAGAGGUUGGAGAUGAUAUGUUGAAGAAUAAAAUGAAGAAAAAAGAAAAGGAGGGGGACAAAUCAGAUCUACCAGGUCCCAAUCUCAUUCCCAUCGCAUCCAAACUUGGCACCAUUGCUUCUACCAGAUCUAGCCUCAACGCCUCAGAUCCUGCCAUAUCUAGCUGGUGUUCAAUGGCUAGGUUGCAAUGGCGAACAACUUCUCUUCUCAGCAUCAAAGGCGAUGGUUGCUAACAAGAGAGGAAAACAGAUGGAUCUAGGGGAUAAUUAUUCUUUCUUUUCAAUUUUUUAACAUUUCUUCCCCUAUCCAACCAGAUGAGGUAUUCAGGGUUGACUUGGAUGAUUCAAGUGGUUGAACCGUCCAAGUUGUCAAGUCAAGCAAGUUUCCUAGAACCUUGGGUUAUUGUUUGACUUGACCUAUAAUGUGCAUUGGGUGACAAAUUGGGCAUGCCAAUCCAGUCAACCCACAUAGGUCUCUAAGCAUUGGUAGUUAUGACAUGGGCUCAUAACAUGCUUUCUUUGUAUAGAUCCAUAUUUAAUCAUCCUAAAUACCCUAGCUUUUAUUCGAUUCCAAAGCUUUCGUCAUUGAUUUUCCCCUUUUCUAAAAAAAACUAAAGCCUUGAUCCAUAACAAGUGUAGCAUUAUUGCAAAUUUAUCAUUCAAUAUUAAAACAAAGUAAGAUUAUUUGCAAGGCCUGGCCCAGUCCAUUGACCGACCGACCUAGCCAGGCCCGGACUGGUGCCAAAGCUAGACCCAAAGACGACUUCCAAUUGCAGAGCCCAUGUUUCAAUCCAAUGAGGCAGACUCCUCUUUGGUUGCUAACAAGGGGCUAGGAAACCUAGCCUCCACUGGCUAUUUGACCUCCCAUGACUCCCUCGUCAAGUCCACACUCAAAUCUCCUUCUUCUUGUUCUCAUUUUUCUGAGUCUUCACCACUGUCCACCACCAUUACUAUGGCUGCAGCCGAGCCUUGCCAAAGAUGAGGUAAUAAUAGGGUCUCAUCUCUCUCUUCCUCUUCUAAACUUUUUCCAUCAAGGAGAGCUAUCAUCGGCCUAGUUUCCAACAACAAAUUGCUAGAAUUUGAAAUAAUGACCCUCUACAUUGUUUCGCUAAUCAUCAAACUUUUUCAUCUAUUUUUAAGAUAACCGUCGCCGCUCCUCUCCAGCUAUCCCCCUCGAUGGCCCGCAACCCACGUUGAAGCCCCAGUGGCCAACAAUCGGGCUAAGGCUUCAUUCGAUAUGAUGAAGCUCUGUUCUACCCCUUGUUUCCUUUGUUUUUCGACCUUCCACUAACCAUUGGCCAUCGGCCAUCACCAAUGGUCGACCGGCUGUGACGACUAGCACCACCACCAACCACCAGCCAUCCCUCUUUUCUUUUCCUAAGAAAGCGCCUCUCUCUCCUCUUCUCUCUUUCUUUCUCCUCCUCUCUCUUCUUUCUCUCUUUUCUACUCUUCCAUUUUCUCUUUUUUGUGAUGGAUGCAUUGCAGCAGACGAUCCCUUUCCUGUGAUCUUGGUCGAAUCUGGUAAAGGGGUCUUGAACCCUCUGGUGGCCACAAUAGUAUGUCGGGCUCCAUUCUGGCCCUCAUUUGGGCAUACUGGACAAUAUAAUCGUCAUUAACCCUUGUUUUGCUAUCAAUACCCUAGUCUAACUCUCGUUUCGUGAUUUGGUCGGUUGAAUUACCUGAUUAGAUUGGCACCUAGCCAACCCUAUCCUCUUCCUUCAACACUUCCUUCUAUUUUUUCUGUAAUUGCCCAAACCUUUUCUAAUUGUUGGACUUGAUUCUAUGUAGGGGUGCAAGCAUUUGGACAAGAAGAAAUCCAACAAGGGGGUACUACAUUAAAGUUCUUAAAUCAAAGUUUUUCUCGGAAGAUUUUUAGAAAUUAUUAGGAUUUGUUCGUGUACUUGCAAGGUAAGUAAUGAUCCACCUUUUCUAGAGAUUUGAAUUAAUGGAUAUAUUUUUUUGAUAUUCAAUAAAUUAUGAAUCGAUUUAUAUGCAAUUUAUGAAUUUUAUGGAUUUGUGUUUUGAACGAAAAAUAAAAUUUAUUAUUCAAAAAUAAUGUUUUUAUUACGAAAUAUUGUGCAUGUUAUUAUUUGAUCUUAUAUGGAAUACACAUUUUUGAUUGAAAUAUGAUAUACAUUAUUCUAUGAAAAGAGCUAUACAUAUCAAAUUUGGACUCUCAACCUGACAAUAUUAUGGACCUUGCCAAUGGGGGUUAAAUGUUGGCACUUUGACUAUCCAGAACUUGAUUACUAUAGCCAUACUCUGUAGGGGUUAAGGGUAGUAUUAUGAACCCACUCCAUAAAGGUUUAACUGUGAUAGUAGGACCUACCCAUCCAGAGUUGAGUGCGGUAUUAUGGACCUAUUCUACAAGGGUUCAGUACUAUGAACCCUGCUACAUGGUAAUGUGGUCAAAGUUUAAGGUUGUUGAGUUGAACAUAAUAUUUUUAAAUCAAACUUUAUGAAUAUGAACAUUUGAGCAAUAUUAGAUAUUCUGGAUUCGUGUUUUAAAAUGGAAUAAGUUUGUGUUUAUCUAUGGUAAAAAUACUUAUUUUAUUAUCACAUUAAUUAUCUAGCUAAAGUAUUCAUUACUUGCUGCAUUGUUGAGCUCAUUAUUUGGAUUCUUCUUUCAUUAUAGAUUCGGAGAAUUAAUUGCUGACAAGGUAGUGCUAUAUGCACAUGAUUAGAAUAGAGAGUAGUUCGUAUCGACGAAGCUUAGAAUUAGUAUUGUUUCCUUAGUUUAAUAUAGGAAAAAUGUUAUGGGUUCUUUAUUUUGAUUAGUGUUUGAAUAAUAGUUGAUGCAAGAUACUUGUGAAAAAAAAUUCUAGAUAUUUCUUAAUAGCUUGGAUAUAUUAAUUGUUAGAAUUUGAAAUUUGGAUUUUAGUUGCUUUGACUUUAUUCCGCUGCAUUAUUAUGAUAAUAUGAUGGAAGUGUCGCAUGCUUGUAGGAGAAGUGCCCUAUAAGUAUGUGGCAGUUGCCACAUCCCUAUCUCGUGAUUUCGGGCUAGAAGCAUGACACUAUUUUUAUUUAUUUUUAAUUAUCUUCAAAAAAUCAUUUCAAUAAUCUUUGUCUUGCAGGAAAUUGGAAUAAAAAGAUGGAAAUCAGAGAACGAGAGACACCACAAAUAAAGGCCUUUGCCCUUUUGGAGACAUUCUAAGGGUUUGAAGUUAUCAAGGAGGCUUCAAAUGAUUCAGGAAUAAGACCAUCAUCACAAGUUAAGAGGAUCUUCUAUGUUUUUGCCAUCAAAUCACUUCCUCGAGGCCUUCAUUGACAUGAGCAGGUAACUUUACAAAUUAAUAUUCUAAUUCUAUUGUGAUUCCCUCAUCCCAGGGAAGUGCAAAAGAAAGAAUAUCAUUUCCCACUCUAAUCUCAAGUAUUGUUUAUUGUUGGAUGGCUCAUAACACCUUAUAUUUGAAAUGGGUGCCAAGCAUACUACUAAAUUUAUAUUGUGAGGGCCGAAAUGCUAGUUAGGUUAAAAGCCAUUGAAUAUGUGGAAGCAAAAGGAAGCAUGCUGAAACUAUGUGCCAAUUCUUUUGACAUUACUACUACUACAAUUUUUCACUUCCAAACAACUAGUCCAUCAAACAGGUUGUCUUCCGAAAAAAAUCCCAAACUAUAAAUAUAUAACAAAAGAGGGUAAUUGUAGCAAAGACAUGAUUAUCUUAUAAUGAUACACUUUUACAUACUACACAAGAGGGACAUAACCAAUAGUAGCUGUAGUGCUAUUACCCCUUUAAUAAAUCCUACUUCAUGUUGGAAACCAGCAAAUACUUAGAAUUCACAAACAACACGCACAUAUAUAGACACAUAUGCAAUACAAAACAUGAGUGUUUUUCGUCAACAUACAAGCUCAAGUUUUUGUAAGUUCUACCACUUUAGAUUAUCAAAAGAUCACUUCCAAGUGAGCAUUUGAUGUCAAACUACAACAACAAAAGAAGGUAGUGAUUCAUUUUUCCAACUUGUAUGUUAUUAAUUACAAAAUGUAUGAAAUGAGCUCUGUAAGACUCAGUUUCACAGCUAAAUAUUUAAACAAUAACUCCACUACAUAUCAAGUUAGUCUCCAAAUUAACCAAAUUCAAAUGUCAACCAACUAUAAGUGGCAUAAGAUACCAUUUUGCAAUAAUUUUUCAUAUAUCGAUCAUAAACAAGCAAACAGCAUAAAAAAAAGGUUGGACCAAUGCAUAAGGCUUCUGCCAUUGAGAGGCCUGGGGAGGGUCAGAUGUACACAGCCUUAACCCCACAUGCGGAGAGGCUAUUUCCAUGUUUCAAACUCAUGACGUCUAGAUCAUAAUGGAGCAACAUUACCGUUGCACCCAGGCUUACACUCUAACAAGCAAAAAAUUAAUCAACGUAUGAAAGGUUACAAGAAGAGUAUCGACAUAGUUGAUAUGGUUAUAGAGUUCCGCAUAAAAAGUACUACAAAGACAAACCUGACCUCAAAAUCAAAGAACAAGAUUUUGUUGCAAUCUAAAUCCAUUUUGCAUUUUAGAAGUUUUUCGCAAUCAACAUCCAUUCUGCAGAUGAGGGAUUCCAUGAACACCUGCUGCUUGCUCUGCAUCCAAUUUCAAGAAAGAUGAACAGCAUACAAUCAGGAUCAGAUAAUCUCAGCACUUCCACAGAGAUAUGCUGCACAUUUUUAAAAGCUUACACUUCAUAAGGCAGUUCUAUUCAGCUUGCAUGAAAAACAUAUUUUAGAAAAUUGCUAUAUUUUAUAGAAUACUUGUUCUUGCUUUUUUGUCCAUAUACUGGAGAAGGCCAAUGAAAGCCUAGAAAUGAUAUUUAAGAUCAGUACUUGUUUACUAUGAGACGUAGUUCCAACAAGGCAGGACAACUUGACUAGGUCAGAAUUAAUUCAUAAAUGUCUCUUGCACAUAAAGAGUUAGGACAGAAGAACAAAUCACCGCCAAUAACACAUAAUUUAAUUUAGAGAACAAAACUAAAUGAAAUAUCUUUCUUUGUUUGACAUCUGACAUUGUUAUGGAAACAUGGCUCUCCCAAAUAUAAGAUCAAAAUUGUAUUACAAACCACCUUGACAGGAUCAUGUUUUUCUUGAACUAAUCUAGGAAAUCUCUUGCAUCAGGUUGCAAUUGCCAUGAUCUUGAAAAUUCAAUACUAACUAGUAAGAAUUAUUUUUUACUAUUUCAUUUCUGCAUAAGAAGUUAUCCAUUCCCAAUGAUUUAUCUUAAUUGUGAUGUUCAGAUAAUUCAUAGUCAAGGACCAAAGUAUUGCAUGCUAAUGUCAUGCCGGCCUGCCACGGGCAAGGUAUGUAACAUGCCAUGUUGAACCUAAACUUGGCACACGCAAGCAGACACAGACACUACAGCAGAUCAUGCAUUGGCACCAUAGACGCCUAUCUGUAUCAACUCGCAUGGAGUGGACAACCCUGUAAUAUGAAUUUAGUUAACCUUUUCUUCACAGAAUAGUAAAGCAUAGCAUUAAUAGAAAGUCCAAGCUGAUAGAAGAUAUCAGCAUUUUAUUGUUCCAUUAUCUAAUUUGUCUCAUGAGCAUAAUAACAAAAUUCUUGACGGAAGCCCAAAAGACUUCCAAUGCAAAGAACAUACAAUAAGUAAAGCUUGUUUCGGACAAUGAACGUGUAUACAGCAUCUAACACCAUAUGCUAGAAAAAGGAGUAGUUGAGUAAGAAACAUGAAAUUACAACAAUGAGGCUGGUAAGGAUCGAAGGAUAAGCAAAAUGUACGUGGACGUAACAAAACAAAUUUAGAAUUAAGAAGACCAAAACGAGUUGAGAAGAGAAAAUCAUUGACAAAAGAGUCAAAACCAAAUAUUAUCAAAGGGCAGCUUGCAUAAAUUUCCCAUAAUUUUUAGUAGUCCAAGUAUCCAACAAUGUCAACGGAAGAUUUAUUGAGAUAGGCGGCAACCCAACUAGGUCCAAGUAACAUAGAAAUAAUAGAAUUGGAAUCACCAUGGCAGCCUAUUCAUUGAAAGGAUUGAACUGAUGCUGGCUGCAUAUAUAACAAGGGUUUCAAUACCCUGAGACUUGAAAGCAGGUUUGGAGAGAGGCAUUCUUAUCAAAGAUGAAUCCUAUAUACAAACACCUAAUGAGCACACUAGCGGCAUGUAUCAAUCGAUCACAUACGGACAUUUGAUGUAUAAAAAAAUGCAAAAAACAAAAGAGUACAUCAGUAGAAAACAUGUUAAAUAUGUAAUUGUUGUAAUAUAGAUGCAAACAGGCACAGUAAUAGCAGCUCUAUUAUGUCUAACACACAGAAAUUUCUUCAUAUCUGGUCUAAGUAAAAAAACAUGUGUAUAGCUUCCUUAAAAAAAAGAAGAAGAAAGAAGUAUGACCUUCAACUACGACCAUGUCAACCAAAUAUCUUUAUUAAGAUCUACUUGUCAGCACUUCAGAAAUUAUUUCUUAAUAGCAUGAAACAUUUAUUUUUUUUGCUUUUUCAAAAAGAUGCAUCCAUUUAGAAAUUGGGGUAACUCAACAAAUGUAUCUUCACAUAUACAAGAUGGCCACACCAAGAUUUGACAAACUUGCCAACCAAAUCAACAAUCUCAUGAGUUUAUGAGACCAAACACCAUGCCUUAAGCACUCGAUGCGACCGAGAUAGUAUGAUGGAGAAUGAGAGGUGUGCCUUACAACCUGUCCAAGAAUAAAGGGAAUAUUAACUUCAUGCAAACAACGUAAACAAUAAGGCAAAGUGGCUUGAAAACAUCUUGGUCCUUAAAUUAACUAUUGCCUUUAUAUUUUCUUUGGCUCCAAGUCAUCUCUUUAUGGUAUCUUUUAGAGAAUCCUAUACUUAUAUAUCCAACUUGUCUAGCUCUACAUCAGUCUGUAAUGAUUCCACCAUGAAGAGCUCCCUGUGCUUCUGAAGACUUAAAGAACAGCAACAGGUACAGUAUGUAUGGCAUCUGUCAUCAAACAGAACUCCAGAAAAGGCAGUUCACAAGGGCCAGCCUUCUGCUAUUCUAGUUCAUAAGACUUCUACUUCUCCAAUUUUAAUCAAUAGUAAUUUUAGUGUUGCUGGUCAUCAAGAAUAUCCCUGUCAUUCUCCUUUCCUGAGGAAGUUUCAUAUCUGGAUCAAAGUUUUAUGCUUCAUCUACCAACAAUCUACUAAAGAAAUCAGGUUGGUAUUAAAAAAAGAGUAAAUUACAAAAAACCCCUUGAGGUUUACAUUCUUACACCCAAUAGUAUGUAAAACCUACAGUACACGCAAUUACAUUAACGGCGUUAAUGAAUCCAUUUACCUCAUGUGAAAAGCCAAAAUUGCCCUCGAGUGAUCAGUAAAUUACAAAAAAAAACCCUAAGAUUGGGGAUCUAUUAUACUUAUAUCCAAUAGUUUGAAAAACCUACGCUUAUCCUCCUGAGGUUUAUUUUUCUGGCAUUUUAAACCAUAACUUAAUAGAAUAUUAGCCAAAUCGUUAACUUAAAUGAAAACUAACUACCACAUCUUAAAAAAAUUAGAAAAUGACCAAACUAACCUUAAAUGAUAAUAACAUCCAUCCAAGGUACAUAGUACCGACCGAACCGACGUACUGGUGGGGACUGGUACCGGUUGGGUACCGGUUGAAACCGGUACUGAUUCAGUACUGAUUGGAACCGGUAUAAAAACGGUUCAAAAAAAAUGCGCGGCCGGCACUCUAUAGCAUUAAAAGCCCACGCGGGGUCUACCCGCGCGGCGAGCCCGCGAGGGAAACCGCGCGCGCAAUUCCCAACACAUGGAUGCGCGGUUCACACCGCAUGGACCGCGCGCAGGCGCGAGUCGGGCGUGUUUUCCCACUCGCACCCAUGCCCCCGCGCGCGGGCAUUAUUCCCCCGGCCUCUCUCCUUUUUUUUUCUUUUCUUUUUUUCCUUCUCCUUUUCUUCUUCUCAAGUUGUUCUCUUUUCUUCCCCUCUUUCCUCCUCUCUUCUCCUCUCUCUCCCUCUUCUCCCGCGAGCAAGGAAGGUCUUCCCCGCGAGGUGCUCGGGAGGAAGAAAGAGGCCCAGUAGUCUUCUCCCCCGCAAGAGAGGUCUUCUUCCCCCCUUCGACAGGUAGUCUUCUCCUCUUUCUCUUCUUCUUCCUCUUCUUUCCUCCUCUUUCUUCCUCUUCUUUCCUCUUCUUCCUCUUCUUCUUCCCUGCGAGUACGGGUGCGGUUCGCACCGGUACUGGGCUUGUGUCAUUGCGAACUGCACCAGUUCGCACCGGUACGGACAAGGAACCGUUCGGUUCCGACCCUUUUAGAAUCAAAACUGAAUUCUAUAGUUGUACCGUACCGGUGCCGGCCAGUACCGAUAUGGUACAGGCUGAACCGGUUGGAACCGACCGGUUCAGCAGACCUUGCAUCCAUCCAAGGAGGAGAACCGUGAGACGCCAUGGGUCUGGAGCUUGAUCUUGAUGAAUCAUCAGAAAAGAGCUAUGCUAAGAAAAAGCAAUCUAGAUCUCUCAGGCAAGUGGAUGCCUCUAAAACAUUCUGCUGCAGAAAACUAGUACCAAGAGUUCUGUCGCUUAAGCCAGUAUAUUCAUGGUCCAAGCCAGGCCAUAGAACUGCAACUGAUGCACCCUCCAAAAUGAAGAAUUCUCAUGCACAUACUGAUUUGGAUCCUUUUGAUGAUAGGUUGCCAAGGCUAUCAUAAUUCUUUGUGACAUGGUGUGCGGGAAAGCAAGAACAAACCUGAUCAAAAAGAAAGCUCGUUGCUGAAUGCUGGUUGGAAAUUAAGGAUGCUCGUCGCUGGAUGCCGGUAGAGAAGGAAGCUUGCCAUCAAUCGCUCGUUGGAAAGGGACGCUCAUGGUAGGGUAGUAAAGCGAGAAAAAAAUCCUAGCUACUCAAUCUCGAAGAGAAGAAGACUCUUAAAGAUGAAAGCCUUCGAAGAGAUCGAAGAGUCAGAAAAGUGAAAGAUGAGCCUUAUUUUCUUAUAGGAAUAUUUUUUGACUUUUUACAAUAGAUAAAUAGUUUUACUAACACUAUCAAUUUAACUGAGUGUAACUGUAGGUUUUAUAAAAUAUUAGGCGUAAGUGUAAUAAACAUAAACCUUAUGAAGGUCUUUGUAAGGUUAUUUUGGUUAUUUUAAAAAAAUUUCUAAUGUGGCACUUCAGUCCCAUUAAAAGUUAAUGGUUUGACUAACGUUCUGUUAAGUUAUGGGUUAAAGUAUUAGAUAAAAAUAAACCUCAGGGCAGUAGGCGUAGGUUUUUCAUACUAUAGGAUGUAAAUGUAAUUUAUCCCUAAUCUUAGGGAGGUUUUUGUAAGUUACUCUUAAAAAAAUGUGUAAACCAAAAAAAAGACAUUGAACGCAUUCUAAAAGUGGUUUGAUCAUUAUAAUGAUCAUAAGGUAUGAAUAUAGGAGCUCUUGAGCUCAAGGAGUACAUGUUAAAAUGAAUUUAACUUUUGAAGUACACUAGUCAAAUUUAAAUUAUACCAAUAAAAUUCUUAAGACACUUUUGUAGUUUCUUUCGAUAAUCUGUAUAAUUUUAAUCUAAUUAUUUCCACAGCUCUAAGCAACAAUGAACAAGAGAAAAUGUUUUCUACCAAUCAGCUUUGUCUAAGCAAUUGGCUUUCAUGGUAGUUCAACACUGUGUGUCUACUCCAACACUACUUAUCAUGAGGCCAACCAACCCGCUGAUUGGUAAGCAAUUGGCUCUUAUGGUAGUUCAACACCGCGUGUCUACUCCAACACUACUUAUCAUGAGGCCAACCAACCCGCUGAUUGGUUAGCAAUGGAAAGCCUGAGGUGACAAUGUGAUCUAGCUUGGGUUACUGCUUUUCCUUAUCCACUUCUUUGACCUCUUAGAUCUAAUGCUUGUCAUUGUUCCUUUCCUAUAGGUUUUAAGUGAGGGCUGGCCUCCCACUACAUACAAAAAGAAAAAGAAGUAGGUGCUUCCCUACCACUAUGAUAUUUCUGAGGAUGAUAAGAUUGAUAUUUUAGGAUCAUGUUUGGUAUUGCUUUUGUUUUUCUGUUUUUAUUUUCAAAAACCCAAGAAGAAAAAUACAAGACUGAAUGACAUGUAUGAUGAAACCCUUAUGUGUUUUGAAAUAGUUUGUAAAACCUUUAGAAUUUUUGGUAGGAAGGAUUUAUGGCUUCAAAAAAGAUGAAAGUACAAGCAAAGGAUAGCAGAUGUUCCAUGCAAAUGCUGUCUUCAACAUCAAUCUCCAUCUGGUAUUUAACUAAUUUGUAAAGAAACAAACAAAAAAAACAAUGAUGCCAAACAGGCCCUUACAGAUUUUACUCCAAAUGAUUGACUUUAAGACUUUAAGUCUGAAGAGUUUCUGGACAACCAAAUUUCGUCAUACAAAGGGACCUCUAAGCUCUCUCCUGAGUCCACUUCUUAUGCUAUCUUGAAGAAUGCCAUCCAAUCUAACAUAUGAUCAAGAAUAUGAUUUCAUACAAUCAGAACUAUUAUGAGUCCUUCACAUGUCAAUAAAUGCAAUAAUUUGACCAAAUAACCCAUUAUUACACCUGAAGACCAAGUCACAGAAGAACAGACUAAAUCAACCGGCGAACGGAAGAACGCAUUGCUAGGAACUCAAGUUCGACUCCAAACAUGAUGAAGAUAUAACCAAUUAAACUUAUGAAUUAUGAUUCUGCUGUCCUGACACUCAUGUAGAUGCACCAUACAUUACUAGCUUAUGUACAAACAAGACACAUUUUUGAAAAUCCAACACUUGUUUUGAGAAUAGAAGAUCAACUGAGAUCUCUUAAGCCUUCCAACGAAAGUGUGGUUUUGCAUAAUAAACAUGCUUUCCAUGCAUGCCUAUCCAAGAAUACUGGCAUACCCAAUUGAGAACCUAUACAAAGAAGAUAUCUAUGACACACGCAAUCUACAUACUUCGGGAAGUGAACCAACGGAUGACAAUGAUGUGAUGUCUCUUAGAAUCGCAAGUACCCCAUUUCUUAUUUUCAGGAAUAAGCAUAUCGUUUAUGAUUCCGUUCGAAUUUUUUGUUGUUCCAUUUCUGAUGAGUAGAACUAUAUUAUUCUAUGUGACAUCAUGGUGAAAAGGCUAAUGCUUAUGAGAAUUGUUCACUGAUUAUGCAUAUACUUAUGAGCAUCUCUACUUGAAGAAACUAAUUUUAAGGCGAAGACAUAGAUCACUGAACUUGCUCUAGAAACUUCUAGCUUUUCUUUUCUCAAUCCAGUGCAAUGUUGCUGGAUUUCUCUCUAUUUUUUAGUAUCCCUAAAGCCUUAUUUCUAAGUUCCAUUCAAUCUUGCCAUUGUUUACAUUCAACGCUUAUGCUUUGUGUACCAAUGGUAUGCCGAAGGUUGCAUCAAAUACCUAGCCUAAUAAAAAGAUUGCAAGAAUCAAAAGGAACUGUAUGUUCUUUGGAGUAUAUUUCUUAUGUCAAAAAAUUCUUCUCACUUCAUACUACUAGAAGGAAAUUUUAUAUGUCAAAGAAACUCCAACAUAAUAAAUCUAACACCAGCCAUAUGAAGGUGCUGUUUGGUUACAGCCUAAGUUUAACCACAAUAUUUGAAUAAAUGAAUGAUAGCUUAAGGUACUUAUUCCUCUGCACUUCCGAGGGAUGGAAGGAUAAAGGCCUUUGGUGUCCCUUCCAAUCAAGAAUUGGGGCCUCACAAUUACAAUAUUUAAUGUGUUUCUCUCAUUCAUGGUUCAAUAUUCUGGUGUCCUAGGUGUUGAGGGACCACACCAGUCCAUCCUGAACUUGGUGAUUAAACUCUAUUGCGGUGACGAUAUUAUAGGGGGAAAUAGCUCAAUGCCAAAAUGAUAAAAAGUUUAACACCUCUUAUUUGACUUUUAAAUAUUUUUAAAUAGGAAAAGGAUAAAUAUCCAAAAUGCAAAGGUUGUCUUAUUCGAAACCCCAAUUAUCUCUUCUCUCUCACUGCACACCUCCAAAUGAACUAUUCUUAUAGAGAGAAAUGUGCUUUUCACAUCUUCUUAACCUGAAAUGGCUGAGAGGAAGUGUUCAUUUUUGAGGUUUCUAACAUCAAAACAUUCUUCUCAUGACAUAAUAGUAAAAAGAAGUUUUAUAUAUCAAAGAAUUCUAACAUAACAAAUCUAUCACCAACUAUAUGAAGAAGCCGUUUGGUCCAGCCAAAAUUUAACCAGGAUAUUUGACUAAAUGAAUAAUAGCUUAGGGUACUUAUUCCUCUUAACCCAGGAAAACUACUAGGCCAAAAUGGCCAAAUAGUUUAACCAGGUUAAAGAGGAAUAAGGACCUCAGAAGAGCUUUUACCUUUUCUUUUAAAAUCUCAAAAGCACCAGUACCUAUUCCUGUUCUAUUGGAGUGCCAAAAGAGUUUUCACUGAACAUGCCUAGAUAAGUGGACUUUAUUCGGGUCUAUUUGAAAAUAUUGGCAAACCAAACAGGGUUGAUGCAGGAUAUCCAGAAUAAUAUUAACAAAAAUAAAAGCAUUAAAAUGAAGACAUAAAUAAAAUUAAAUCAUGGAGUUGAAAAUAGAAAUUUCAUCAACAAUUUUUCAUAAUGACAUGAAAGUUUUUAUAGAAAAGAAAAGCAAUAGCAAUAUAGUUAAAGAUCAUUGGAUAAUCAGCUUCAUCGUAGUGCUCCUAUACAAUACAAAUGAAAAUAAACUUACCAUAUUCCUACAUUUGAAACGUCCAGUGGGCAUCAGGAAAGAAGUUUUUCCAGCUUUUGAUGAGAAAGCUAGACGGAAACAACGAUUUCGAGAAUAAACAGCAGUGUCCAAAAAAAGCUGACACAAGGAUUCAGGACAGCUCGUGUCUUUCCUAGUGUACAAUUUGUCAGACUGUGGAUCACUUCCCCGUAAACUUGCAAUACGUGAACAUACCUGACAAGGAGAAAGUUCUGCAACAAGUUAUUCUCACUUUUUAAAUAGAGAACAAAUAUGUGUGAGGUUCAAAAAAAAUAUGGAUAAUGUAUUAUCAAUUUUAUACAAUGAUAAGAAUUCAACCUUUCAAACUAAAAUUAAGGGACAGUGUAUAGCAUUAUGUAUUAUAAAACAAAUAAACAAAUUAAAAUGCUGAAAGCCUAAAAAUCAUGUUUUAACCAAAGAAACCAUAAAAUAAUCAUAAUGUGCUAACUAAAAUACUGACAGAGGCAACCUGGUUCUUGGAACAUUCAAUUUUCAAAUUGGCUUCACAAGCGUACUUCCACUUGCAGUCUUGUAUCUGGAUAGAAUCAGUUUUUUCCCAUCAUUUAAAAAAAAACACGUAUUAAAGUAUUUUGAUCAAUAGUCUGCCAGACAAUGCCACUACCUACCCUUACAUAACGGCCCUGCUCCCCGACAGCCAAACCUAAAUCUAUUUCUAGUCUAGUUACCAUGAUGUACAGCCCAAUAGGAAUUGUAUGGCUAUCAUCACCAACACAAGCACAGGGAGGAGUCGGGAAAUCAUAAUGUUUCUUUCAUUUUCACCAUAAGAAACUCAAGGCACUUUUACAUGUCAACAUCGAAGCAUAGGCAAUCAUUGCAUGUAUUGCAGAUGCGUCAGAAGCACUGGGUCUGCUCAUGAUUAAGUUGCACUGAACUAAUAGUCACAAGAAGUCUAAUGUGCAAUUGCAUAUUAACUUAGGAUGUAUGUUGUCAUGGAUGUGGUUGCAGUAAUCUUGUAGUCAUACUCAUACUGGUCCACAGUGGAAUACGGCUGGAAAUAUGACAAAAAACAUAGAAAUUGGAGGCAGAUUUCAAGUUAAAAUCUACGAUUCCAAAGCAUACAUGCCAAGUAUAUAGAUGACACUGAUCCUGAAGUGAAUGACUCCAACCCAUAUUAACCACAUCAUAUUGAUCAACUUGAUCCCUUUGUUGAGAACAUAGAUGCCAGGAGAAGGGGCUACGGACAAGCAACAAAUGAUAUGAUGCAUGUAAAAUGCCAUGAGAAUCUCAUCUUCUUCUCUUCUUGUAGAACCAACAAAACAAGAAAGAAUGUCAAGAACCUCAAGGCUCUGUUUGGUUCAAGAAUCAACACCAAUGUCUUGAAUAAGUGGUUUUUUUCAGCAAAUACCAAAUGAUUGCUGUUACUCAACUCUGAUAGUUUUCUUUUGGUCAGCAGGGUUAUAAUUUGCUUCAAUUUGAACAAAAUCAUAUGGAGGCAUGGAGGCAGGGGAAAAAUGGAGUCAUGGAGGCAAAUGGGUCCGUUCACCUAAGAGACUGACUUUGAUCAUUGCCUGCAGAAUCCUGAUCAUGGUGCUAGAGGCAGUUGCCCAGCUCCCUGUACAUGGAUAUAAAAUGCAGGCAAGAACAAGGGUCACGAAAGCACCACAACUCCUCUAUAUCCUCUUGCUCUAGUAGGUAUCUUGAGGACAUAAAUUCUAGCACAAAGAGAGUUGGGUUGAUGGGGAUGAAUGGUGCAAGCGAUCGACACAAUGGCAUCAGGGAUUGUCCUCAUCUUUUUCUUUGUAGAAGUGUUAUCUUGUGCUUAGUGUAUGACGAAUCCUCCUUGGUGUCUCGGACCAAGGCCAUCCGAACCAAGUUGCAAGACCUGGCAUGGUCCAUUGACCGGCCGGCCUAUAGCUCAUAUGCGGCUUUAGCUCAGCCUACUUUCAGAGUAAGGCCCAAAAGCCCGUUCCCAAUUUCAUUAGGGCCGAGCCCCCAUUUAAUUCAAAAAAGGAGGCUGACUCCGCCUCCUCCUCGAACUCCAGCGGUAGGGAAACUCACUGGCUAUUAAACCCUCCCCAUCACCCCUUGUUAAGCCGCACCUCAAAUUUCUUCUCUCCUUAUUGUUCUAGGUUUCUGUCGUCGUGCCCUAUUAUUGGGCUCGUCGUCACCGAGGUCGAUCCUCGCCAGAGACGAGAUAAUACACUUACCUUUCUCUUCUCCCCAACUCUCUCUCCCCUCCUAUCUUAGCAGUGCACCACCGGCUGGAUUUUUGCCGAAAAGAGAGACCGAAAAACCUUCCCUAUUUUGGCAUCUGCCAACCAGAUUCCUUGUUCUUGGAACCAAUUUCCGUUGUUUUCAUCUCCGACCCCUUGACAUUCUGCAACCAACAUUAGAGGUCGGCCAACUGUCGGCCAGCAAGUUGAGGCUCAAUUCCACGUCGAGCCUUGUUUUAAACACUCGAACCCCCAUUUUUCUUGCUUUUUUCGGGCCUUCCAUUAGCCACUCACCAUCAUCACCUGUCAUCACCGCUGCUUGUCAUCAAUCCUCUAGCUAGCACUCGAUAGCACGACCACCAAACACCACCACCAGCACCCCCAAUUUUUGUGCACCCACCUCUCUCUUGUUUCUCUAUUUUUUCUCUCUCCUCUCUUUCUCCUCUCUUAAGUGAUAGGUGGACCCUAGAGGGUCCCUUUCCUGUGAUCUUGGUUGACCCCAAUAAAACAGUCUAGAACUCCUGAUGCAGCAUAUUGUCCCACCCUAACCCUUAUCACGCACCGUUGGACUCUAUCAUCAUUAAUGCUUAUUGUGUUAUUAUUACCUUGGUCUAACUCUUGUUCUGUCAUUUGAUCAGUUGGAUUACCUAAUUGGGCUAACCCAAACCAUGGGACACCACCACCCGAUCAGUCCUAUUUUUCACAAUUGCUCGUACCUUGUCUAAUUAUUGGACUCAAUUCUAUGUAGGGGUGCUAUCGUCUGGACAAAAUGGUAUCCAGCAAGGGGGGUGCUAUUUGCAUUUGUCUGUGUUCUCGCAAGAUAAAUAAUGAUCCACCCUUUCUAGGUUUUUCAAUUAAUUAAUAUAAUUUUUUGAUGCUAAAUAAAUAAUAAGUCGAUUUAUAUGCAAUUUAUGAAUUUUAUGGAUCCGUGUUUUGAAUGAAAAAUAAUAUUUAUGAUUCUGAAGCAAUGUUUUUGGAUGAAAUAUUAUGUAUGUCGCUUAUAGCUAAUUAUGCAUGUCAUUUAUUGAUCUUAUAUGGAAUAUACAUAUUUCGAUCAAAAUGUGACUUAUAGUAUUCUAUCAAAAGAGCUUUGAUACAUUUUGGAUUUGAACAUGUAGCCGGACUAUGUUACCCCGCUAGUGGGAGUUAUACCUUGGCACUUAGAUACCCUACUAGUGGGGGUUAUAUAUGGGCAUUUCAAUACCCUGUCAGCGGCGGUUAUACAUGGGCACUUCAAUACCCUGCCAGUGGAGAUUAUAGGUUGGUCCUUUGAUACCCUGCCAGUAGAGUUAUAUGUCGGCACUUCGAUACUCUGUCAUUUGAGUUUAUGCAUAGGCAUUAUGACUAUUUCUGAAUUCAUUAAUCUAGCCUGGCCAUAAGGUGUGAGUAUAUUCAUAGAAAGGCUGUUGAGUUGAAUUAUGAUAAUUUUGAAUUAUCAUACAUGAUAUUUUAAAUUGUACUGAGUAUUUGAGCAAUUAUGAUAUUCUUAUUUUGCCUUGUUUAAAUUUGUAUUAACUUUGCCUAUAUACUUAUUGUUAAAAGAAAGUUUAUUGAAUUAUCUAGUUGAGGUGUUCAUUACUUACCAAACCGUUCAGCUCAUUAUUUGGAUUUUUUUCUUAUUACAGAUUCAAAGAAUUAGACAGUGACAGGGUAUUGCUAUGGGCGUGUGAUUAGAAGUGAGAGCUGAUCGUAACAAUUAGCUUAGAAUUAGUACUAGUUUCCUAGUUUAUUAUUGGAAAUAUGUUGUAGGGUCUUUAUUUUGAUUAGUGUUUGAAGAAUAAUUGAUGUCAGACUCUUGUAAACAAGAAAUUCAGGAUACUUCUUAUAGCUUGGAUUUAUUAAUUAUUAGACUUUGGAAUUUAGAUUUUAAUUACUCUAAUUUUAUUCCAUUGUGUUAUUAUGAUGAUAUGAUGAAAACAUUGCAUGCUUGUGGCGAAAGUGCUCAAUGAGUAUAUGGCGGAUGCCAUAUCUCUGGCUCAAGAUUUUGGCUCAGGUGUGUUACAUAAGUAUUGGAUGAAUUAUCGGUUGGUGACUGAUAUAGUAUGAUACUGACUCAAUAGCGUACUAACACUUAAUGUGCUGCACACCCCCAAAUAUGCAACUUAUUUCACAAAAAAAUUUUGAACAUUAUUUUAUUUAUUAUUAUAUUUUUAAUCUAAAAAAUUAUAUGAUGAACAAAAAAAUCACGAUUUCUUUGGCAUUGUGUAGAUAAUCCUUAGAUCUACAGCAUAUCACGAAAUUAGGCCAAAAUACAAUAUUAUGGCAUGAUUUUUCCACAUUUUACCUAUUUUUUGCCUAUUUUAGGCUUCAAAAAGAAAAAAGACUUGAGAGAGGAAGGGAAGAGGGAGUUUUGCUCACUAGGAGUUGAAUUUCGGAUGAAAACUACGAAGAUUGGGGCUUCUCCGACAUUUUUUGGUUAAAAAGAAAAAAAUAAGAUUGAGAGAGCUGAGAAAGCACAGCAAGCCUUCUCUACAUUUUCCCUCAAUCAUUAAAGGUGGGAGCCACAAACCAGCCCGAACCAUCAUGGAUCGAACAAAACCAAGCAAUUCUAUUUGAUUUGGGUCGAUUUAGGCUGGUUUGGGACCUACCCCGACCUGAUAGGCAGUCUCGGUUCCGACCCGAAGCAGUUUGGGAUGGGAUGGUUAUCCUUGUCUCUAACAAUUAGAGUAGCCCGCAAGGCCCAGUAUACAUACCACAUACGGUUAUGGGCGAUCAGAAAAUCUUUUGGCAAAUUUGGACACAAGGUUAUGGAUAGCAUGUAGGUGAUGCAUAUGCACAGCCAUACCUAAACUAAGGCCCCACCAACCCAUACUAGCCUAUUGAUGCCUCUAAUGCACCUAGUUUACAUUCACCAUUAUCUCAUCCAGUACAAUGCAUGGAGUGCAUGAGACAACAUAGUGGGUGGUGCCACCAGUACAUGGCACUCCAAUAAUACAGAUUGUACCUAAACAGCACCCAUAAUAUCUUAUGGGCGAGCCCAUUAGGCACUCAGUGUGAGGUUGAGGUGAAGACCAUGAAUCAUGUAUUGUGAUAAACAUUUAUUUAUAAAAAAUUGACAAUUAUAUAUUAUGUCUUGAUGUUGUAUAGUCAAACAUAAUGAUUUCAUAUACAGCAUGUCAGUACUUUAACAUGAUUUAUAUAAUUUUAGUGGUACUAUGAAUUUUGUGAUUAAAUAAAACUAUUUUUAACAAGGGAUGCCGUUAAUUUAAUGUUAAUGCAUGUUAGGAUGCCAUUUGGCUCGAAAGGCACAGCAAAAUAUCAGCACACACAUAUUCUCAUUCUUGACUAUACAAUAGCAUGUUGGGCUUUAAAAUAAUGUUUUAAUGAAUGAAAUAACUCUUAUGUAGGAAGACGUUCGAAGUAUGAUUCAUACAAAAAGGAAAAAACACCACUGGCCGUGCAUUAAAAAGCAUUCCAUUGCAACACGCCAGUUCGUGCCAGAUGCCGGCAAGGCAAGGCACACAGCACUUGCCAUGCCAGCCCUUGGAUAGCAUGAGCAUAGCAUGCGGCACAUGAUUUCUAGUUCUAUUUUACUGCAAAAAUACAACAGGUAAAAUUUGAUAGAUGAUGGCAGCAUCAUACUUGAAAUGCAUAGGAUCUUUUACAAAUUAGAAGCUUGGAAAAAAAGGAAUUAACUUAUAGAUUUAAGAUUGAUAUUUGAAUACCUCCGAAACAAAUGCACCAGCAUGUGAGUUGUCCUUAAAGGCAGUCUUUGGAAUGCGGAUGAUCAAAUGACGCGAAAAUUUUUCUAUCACAACUCAAAAAAGUAAUUACAACAAUCAUCUGUUUUAAUAGUUAAAUUUAAGCAAAAUAUAUGAUUUUAAAAGAUGAAAUAAAAUCUAAAAAAUCUUUCUUUAAUUCAGUCCAUUUAUGUAAUAAAUAGGCAAAAUUUACACAAAAUGUAGUUGUACAACUAAUAUGAAUUAUCCAGCAGAACAACAGAAAAUGCCAUAAAUAAGAACCUAAGUAGUAAUUAAAAGAUCGUGAUAACAAUGUCACUUUAAUUGGCUUUAAACACAGAUCGAAAUGCAUGAACACACUAGAGCAAAGGCUUAAGUCCUAGUUCGAGGAUCCAUAUCAUUCUAGGGCCUGUCAAGGCACUACCAAGAUGCCCCUGCCUUGGCACGUGGGACGACUUGAUACCUCGGUGGUUCACUGCAAUGACCCUUCUUUUUUCCUUCAUUUGUAUGUUCCUUUUAAUGAUUUUUUAGAUGCUUUGGAGUUCUUUGUCGAAAUUUAGGCCCUAAACUAGGUUUUUUAAGCUAGUUGAGAUAAUGGUAACAGAACUGGUACUAACACUUAUGGCUUGGAUGAAAACUUAAAAUAACAAUAAAUUUAAAUGGCAUAUAACUUAUCGAUCAUAUCAUGCAUAUGAAUGAGAUGCAUAUUUAUAAAUCAUACAAAAAUCAAUUUAUUGUUAUUAAUAUAUUUCAAGUUUGUUAGGAUUUUUCUUGAAAAUUUUAAAUCAGUGUGAAUGAGGAGCAUGUCCAUCGCAUGCACUUCAUUAUGCCUUAAUUCAUAUUUAAAAGAUGUACCAGCGUAGGGCCUCUUAUGGACCUUAACUCAAGGACUAAGAUUUAAUCUUAAAUGCUCAAAAACAUCAUCUAAUCCUUAAUAAAUAACCCUAAAAAGCCUAUAGCUUUUAAGCAACUAUUAAAAAUAAUAAACAAACAAAAAUAAUAGAAAAUAAAAAGUUGGCAUCCCCGUGACUUACUGGAACACCAGAUCAUCCAAAGUAUGAAGACAAUGGUAUCAGCUGUCCCAAUCACCAUCAUGGUUUAUCCCAACCAAGACAACUUUGAAUGAGCCAUUUUUUCAUGUCUUGGGGUCUCAGACCCAUCCAAUGACUCAAUACCUAGCCAGCCAAUCUAGGAUAGCUAGAAUGGACCAAGACAGAUGUGGGUCUUUCAUCUUUGAACUAAAUGUUCAACGUACUUUUUUGAAUUCAUAAAUAACAUCUAGAUGUAAAAGUUAACAUCUACCUACAAGAAAGGACAAUACGAUAUCAAGCAUAAAUAAUAAAAAAGGCUUAUAGCAUUAGAAAUAUGUACAAAGUUUAUCGCACUCCAUACAAAACAUCUAAGAAUUCAAUAAUGCCCGCAUAAUACAUAUAAUGUACUAUCAUUGUUUGUUCUUUUACAAUGCAAUGAUUGACUUAAGGUCCGAGCAUUGUCAAAUAUGUGUACAAUGUUUGACUAUAAUAUUAUUAGAUGUUCAAAAGAGUGGCCAUGAUACGGAGGCAACUAGUGACAAUAUAGCAAUAGAACAGGCACAAAGACGGAUUAUUUAAAGAAGAAGAAGAAGAGAAUUUUACAUAGAUAAACUAGAAAUAAGAAUUAAAUCAGAAGUAAUUAAAGGAAAAAAAGGAAUAAUAAGAAAAAUAUGUUUUCACAUUUAUUUGAAAACCUACUAUAUGGUAACAUGAUCUGUUAACAAAUAAAAUAUCUAUUUUCCCUGUAAAUUUUUAUUGAUUGAUUGCCCAAAAAGCAUGUUCAAUGAUUUUCAUUAAUGCAACAAGCAAAUCUACAUAAUAAUGAACAAUCAAAGCAAUGUCGAAAUAAAAAAGUUAAUAGAUCAAUGCAAGGGAUAACCAAAUGCCUAAGGCAAGGUGUUGGGGAGCCAAUGGAAAAGACAAAGGGUGCAUAUGGGAGGUGGGGUUCAUAACCUACACAUCUGAGACAAUCUAAUACCUCUGACCACCUCUCCUAGUUCCUGAACCACCCCAAAAGACAGUCCAAACCUGACUCACCAAGGCCACCUGGGCCUAGGCAGGCUGCUUGGGAGACCACUAAAUAUCUAGGUCAUGUAUAUGGGACACCUAGGUCUAGGUGGGCCACUUAAGAGAAGCCAAGCCUCACAUGAGGGACACUAAAGCAAAUGGGUGCUAAGCGGGAGCUAAGGAACGACCUAAGCCUAGGUGGCAAUAUAGUAAAGAGCAUAAUUCUAAGCUAUUUCACAUCCGCUCGGACCACAUCACGUCAUACAUGUAUAUCUGCUCCUGUGUCAUUUCACAUACAAUUUAACAGUGUUUUUUUUGUGACAUGUAUUAAAAAAAUUAGUAAAUUACUUACACUAGAGUACUCAUAAGUAGCAUGAAACAAUUCUUUUGAAGAUAAUAAAAAGAUUAAGAUUUCUGGCUGAACAUAAGCUCACUCUAUAUUUGAGUGACAAUAUGUAAAAUGUGGUACAACAUAAAAGAAGAGAAUUGCCAAAAAUUUCAUAGAUCAAAAAAGAUAAGGUUGAAAUAUAGGAUUCUAUCAUAUAAAAAAAAUCUCAUAGUGACACCAAGGAGGUGUUGAACUUCGGCUAAAAACUCGAAGGAGGAAGGAUAUAUCGGUGUAACCAAUUGUGGCAAGGAAGAAACUCCACUACAGCACAUACAACGCAAUGAAGACGGUAGUUGGAAGAGGAGCAAGAACGGAUCACUCUCUUUCAAGGCCAAAAAUACUACCUCGACAGGCCACUCCAAAAACUUCGGCUCUCACACGCUCACUCGCAAACUCUUAAGAAUUCACCAAACGGGAGGAGAGAGAGAAUAAAGAGAAAAUAAGAGAAGAAUAAUUCUCACAAUAGAAUCUCCACUAAUCAAUAUCUAUCGUAUCUCUAGUAUGAUUAGAGAAGGAGCCCGUUGGGGAUACUUAUAAGUACUAUAAAGAGGACUCUUUUCUUCAACCUUCUAAUAUGGAAUUCCAAGUCCUAUUCUAAGUCGAAGAACCCUAACUACUAACUUUUCUAAUAACAUCAAAACUUCUCAAAAGAAAGUUCACAAAGAAUCAAAACUCCCUAAAAUCAACUAAUAUCAACUUUCCUAACUAAGAUAGGAAAAUAAUUAAUCAUCAAAAGCAGUUGACCCAUGUGUACAGGACCCACGACUCAUGCAGCUGGGACCCGCAACCUGUGCGAUCGAGAUCCAUGACCCAUGCAGCCGGGACUCCCGACCCAUGCAGUCGGGUUUUCCGACCCAUGCGGUCGAGAAUCCUGAUUAGUUCAGCAUCACGUGCAUCCUAAGCACUCCGGUGUCAUACUCCCCCUAUUGGAGAAAACUUGCCAUCAAGUCUAGAUCUUCUUGAUCUUCCUAGUCUUCAUAGUAAGGUGAUAGAUUGGCUAUGUUGAAUGCUGCAAACACUCCAUAGUCUCCAGAAAGUUCGAUUUUGUAGGUAUUAUCGUUAAUGCACUUUAGAACCUUAAAAGAACCAUCAAUUAUUUUGUUGCAUAGCAUUCUGGUGGCAAAUUGCACUACUGCAGGUUGAGGUUGGGCAACGAGCACAAGAAGUUGAUAUAAUCCUCAAAGUUUGAAGAGAAAACAAGGCUUGGGUCCAGUACAACUAGAGGAUCGAUAAAACCAAUGCCAAGUUCGAAUAGAGUGGAGGGAUACAGGAAGUACAAGUUAGGGCCUUGGGACAUGAUAGCCUGUCAAUGGUCACCGUGCUUUUUAGCACGGAUGGACAUGGCAGAGGCAAUCAUAGAAAUCAUGGGUAGCUAAGGAACAUAGUCACCCGGGUACCAUGCAAUCGAGAGCCUUCUUCCUGAAUUGUGUUUUCCAUAAAGAACAUAUGCAAUGGCAGCACCACCUUGUUCGCCACCAGGUAAGAUCACCAAAAUUACAAGGCCUUUGGAAGUAUCUGCAGCAUCAUUGAUGAGCUUUGUUUGGAAGCCAUGAAGGAUGCGAUUUGACCGGUCUAGAUUCUCAGAUUCUAGAUCCAACCUAGCAAUGAUUAUUGCCACAUUGGUAGUCUUCGCAACAUCAAAAGCCCAGACGAUGCUAUCUUGGGAUGUGUAAGCCACAUUACCAAAACCUUGCUUGUAGUGAACUUCAACCUCCUUGAUAAUGGCAUUAAACAAGACGGGCUCUAGGCUAACUAGUCCAAUCUUCUGCCUUAUCCAGUUUUAGCCUAGUCUUCAGGUUGAUGCCAUCUAUCAUAGAAUCUAAAAGAUGGACUUCGUGCUUCUUUCUCCCAAGAAGUGACAUGAGCAUGUUGUAGUACGAUGCAGUGACCAAGUUUGGAUAUUCGUGCUGCUUCUCUCCCAUGCCAUGCGAAGAGCAUUUAACGUGCAAGAUGUUAUAGCAUGAAUGGUCUUCUUCAUCAACUACCACAAUCAUAUUAAGGCUUCAGUGUACCACAAUGCUUCAUCUUGAUCGGAAUACACUAAUUCUUCCUCGCUUGGGCCUUCCUCGUCCCACUUGACUAGCUGAUCUUCUUCCUCAUCUUCUACACAUGAUCCUUAUUCCAUCAAAGAGAUGAGCUUUAUAUGUGGGCAGUAAAUUGCAAUAUGCACAAACACUUGGCACUUGAAAUACUUGCGAGGGUUAGAAGCGAUAGUGUUGGAACAAUCGUGGUUGCUAAGGAUGUUGCCGUCCUUCUUUUGAGGUGAUUGGGAGGUGUUGGCUUUGAAGGAUACCAUGGUCGGCGGAACCAUCCCGAACCGGGCGGUUCUAGCCGUUCCGAGCCGUACCAGCAGCUUACCAGUAUGUUUCUGGCAACGAAAACGAAAACCGUUGUCGGAGGUGGAAAAGGAGAGAGGAAAAAAGAGAGCGAGCGGGGGAGAGAGGAAGAGGAAGAGGAAGAGAGAGAGAGAGAGAAGCCGGCGGAGGCCGUCACCCGGGCGGGAUGCGAGGUUGCGGCCGAUUUUCCUAUUUCGAACGAAAUAGGAGUCUGGCCGCUAAAAAAAGCGCGAUUUUUAAGUGAAGUCGGCAAAUCGCUUGCCAACUCUACUUAAAAUUGCGAUAUUACUUAAAAAACGCAAUUUUUUUAGGCCUCGCCUCCUGCCCAAGCAUCGGCCUCCUCUCUCCCUCUCUUCCCCUUUUCUCUCUCUUUUUCUCCCUGCCACGAUCUGUGUUGUUCUCUCCUUUGUCGGUACAGGCCCGGCACGGUGCAAGCCUGUAACGACUCGUGCUACCGGAAAAUCGGUAUGGUGCCCGAUACCAAUUCCGCCGACCCUGGAGGAUACCAAUGUCUUCAACACGAACUCCCCCAGUUGGACCUACAUCCGUAUACUUUGAAAAGUAUGAAUUAUUUAUUCUUAGUUGUUGCUUUUCGACUUUUGUUGCCAAUUGUAGCACACCAUUCAGCGUCCAAUAGGGCUAAAGUUGCAUAACUUGCUCAAUUUCAGGCCUAAAUCCACCAAGAUAUUAUACUAUAGUUUGCUCUUUGAGCUUCUUAAUGUCGUACAUCAUAAGGAGUUGCUCGAAUUUCAUUGUGUACUUUUCUACGGUUGUGUCGCAUUGCCGAAGAUUGUGGAGCUUAACAAAUUUAUUCUUAUGAUAAUCUUCAAGUAGGAACUUAAAUUUGAGUUCGUGACGCAUCUUUUCCCACGUUCGGAUCUUGCUGCAUCCUUCAUGCUCACAUCAUCGCUUUAGAUUUUUCCACCAAAUUGAUGCAUACUUUUUGAGCUUGAUGGCAACUAGCUUGAUGCAUCGAUCAUCAGAAAUUUCAUUGAGUUCGAAGACUUGUUCAACGGUGUGGAGCCAAUCAACGAACUCAUCAGAAUGCAGGUGUCCUUCAAAGUCGGGGAUGUCUAUUUUCAUACCAAAGUUAUAAUGGUUGCGAUGUGGUCUUCAUUCAUGCUGGUACCGGAUAUCUUCUACACUCGACGAAGACGCUUUUCUGUUGUAGGACGGAUUGAAAUUUUCAUUGGAACACUCGCUUUCAUCAUCAAAAGGCGCAUUGUCUGAGUAGUGAUUGGAACUUUGGCAAUGUCGAUGUUCGCAUUUCUCUUACCAUUGACAAAGCCAUUGAUUUUCUUGUUAAAGUUAUUCAAGCUAGCGGUGCAUUUCAUCUAAUUUGAUAUCUCGCGGAUCUUCUCCACGUUCAACAUGCUCUUCGACAUUGCAGCGAUGGGGCGGCAUCUUGAAACAAUGCUCUAAUACCAACAUCGGAGAGGUGUCAAACUUGGCUUAAAAACUCGAAAGAGGAUGGGUAUGUCGGCACAACCAAUUAUGGCGAGGUAGAAACUUCACUACACACAUACGACAUAAGGAAGAUAGUAGUUGGAAGAAGGGCGGAUCACUCUCUUCCAAGGCCAAAAAUACCAUCUUGGUAGGCCACUCCAAGGAUACAGCUCUCACACGCUCACUCGUAAACCCUACAAAUCCACCAAAAGGAAGGAGAGAGAGAAUAUAGAGAAAACAAUGAAAGAAUAAUUCCCACAAUAGAAUCUUCACUAGCCAGUAUCUCAAGUAUCUUUAGUAUGAUUACAGGAAGAGCCCCGAUGGGGGUAUUUAUAAGUAGAACAAAGGACUAUUUUCUUUAACCUUCCAAUAUGGAAUUCCAAAUCCUAUUUUAACUCAAAAAACCUAACUAGUAACUUUUCUGAUAACAUCAAAAGUUCUCAAAAGAAAGUUCACAAAGAAUCAAAACUCUCUAGAUUAAUUAACAUCAACUUUCCUGACUGAAAUAGAAAAUAAUUAAUCAUCAAAAACUAGGACCCAUGCAUACUUGACCAAGGAUCCGUGCGGCCGGGACUCACGAUCAACGCAGCAUCAUGUGCGUCCUAGGCGCUCCGGCAUCACAUAGGAGGAAGCAAUCACCAUUGUACUAUGAACCACAAUGAUUGUCCCACAAUCUCAGUGGUUACUCAGGGGGGAAACAUGCAUGAAUAAUAAAAAUGGCAAUAACAUAUACCUAAGAUUUUACAUCUUUUUUUUCCUUUUAUAGUUAACUUUUCACAGUUAGAAGGAGAAAGCAACUAUCAAACAGAACAUUUAAGAAAAGUCAGAAAAAGGAAAAGCAACAUAAAAACAGUUGAAGCAAUGAGAAAAAAAUCUGAAGGAUCUCCAAAUUGUGAACAAUAGGAAGAAUAGAUUGCAAAACAAGAUAUUCGAAGCCAACACCAAAAAUGGCCCAUAGAUUGUAAACUAUUGGAACAGAUAUAGAAAUAAGAACCACAACAAAAAGUCUCCCUCAAGUUUUAUCUAGUUUGAUUAAAGACCAUAAUGAAUUAGUGAUAUUAUCUAUUCCAUCUAUAGAAGCAAAUUAGCGAAAUGCUGGAACCAGUGUUCUAGUCUGAUCAAGAGCUAUGCAUCAGUCAAUACAUUUUAUACUGUAACAACAACACUAGUUCCUGAUUGGUGUGUAUACUAUAAAUAGUCAAGAUAUAGGCAGAACUAAUGACAAAAAAUUCUAAGUUAGAGCUCAAACAUCAAAAUAAUAAUGAACUAGGCAAAAGAAGUCGUAUGAAUUGCAUCUGGAGGAUAGGAAGAAUUAUGCAGAAAUUAAGAGGAGCUUUAAAUAAUGUAAACUUUCAUUAAGUCAAAAUAGAUUGUACCUGAAAAAAUAUUCUAAACAAAAAAUAAAUAUGUAGGCCUACAAUUGGAAAGUCAGGCAUCAACAACGAGAUUCCCAAUAAUAAUCAAAGUUCAACUAAUACAAAAGAAGUUGUUGACAUGAAAAACUUGAUCAAUAGUGGAAAAAGGAGAUGCAUAAACCAUAAAGCUUGAUCAAGAAAAAAUAAAAGGAUAAAUUGAACUAAAUAGAAUAAAUGGUCAUUAAUUAACAAAGCUAUUAGAACAAACAUACCUUUGGUAGAUGAAUCAAGCUCUACCACCCAUUCUUCAUUUCCUUGUAUAAAGUAUUUCUCAAAUAAGACUUUAUAAGUGAUAAAUAUCAAGGUGUCUACCAUUUCAUCUACAUUUCUAUCAUUGUUGAUCUUCUUGUCAAAUUCCAGAUCAAAAUACAAGUGGCAAGGAACACCCUGAAGAAGUUACUAGUCAAAACAUGCAAGUGAAAAGUACUAUCAAUGACCCACAAAAGAAGAAUUUACAUGACUGCUACAAAAUACAUAGAUGGAAUUACCCUUUAACGAGCAUGAGCAAAAUUUGACAAGUAUUUAGUAGAUUCUAAAAAUCAAUAUUAACUAUUUCAGGAAAAAUUUAUGAGCAGCCAAAUGAAAAUUUUGCCAUAAAAGUCAGUUUACGAUAAAUCAAAAAUGAAGCUUGAACAUUUAUUGUUAAGCUUGCUUGAGAUGGAAUACCCCUCUCAUUUAACUCCAGCCCACAAAAUAUAUUUAGAAGAUAGCAAGCCCCACUUAUUUUGAGCAAUCAUUAAAUAAGGAUUAUAUUGUCAUGGUCACCUACCUAGGACCAAAUACUUGAAUGUACAUUGCAAAACUGAAGGCCAUUACAGUUCAGAUAAAUCAGGAACAGUGCCUCAUAUUUCGUUUUUGCCUUGAAGAAAAAUUACACGAAAGUAUAUACCUCUUGAAUAACUUCAUAAUGGUGACGUAAUUUGGAAUCCAUGUUCUUGUACCUGGAAGAAUAAACUGUCAGCACAGAACUCAGGAAACCAAAAGAAAUGUGGACAUGCAAAGAGCACUACUGCAUCCCAAAAUUUGGAUGUGCUGUUUUUCUCUGCUUCUGAUACUACAUAUUUAGCAUUUAAAUGAUGGAUCUACUUUUGUGUCAUUUUCCCUUUAUUUUAUUUGACAAAAGUUCUAAAAGACCAUGAAAGAAACAACUAAUUACAAACCAAAAGGAACCCGCAAAUAAAGGAGAAGAAACUACGUUGAGAAAACAAGAUUGAAAUUUAACCUUCUCCAGAACUCAUCAUAUGUAGACACAAGAAAUCGUCUUUGCCCACUUAAGUGAUCUUGAUAACUAAACACAUUAGCAUGUGCAUGUGUAUUACAGAAUCUCAUUGCCUCAUCUUGUCUAGGAAAAGUAGCCCAGACCUCCUUCCUAAUAAAAACAAAACCAAGUUAACAGCAAUAACAAAGAAACAUUUUCUGCUAACCAAGUGUUUUGAAUCAAUACACUUCUACAGAUACAUACCUGGGGAUCAGACUAUUCUGCUCUCUGAGAUCAACAUGAAUUUCACGUAAUAACCGCAAUAAUUGUGAUGGCCUUUUUACUGGAGCACCAUGUGGGGAACCAUAAAAGACAAUUGGAGAGAUCUGCUUGCUUUUAUUAGAUUUAAUUGCAACAGAUGUUGAUACAACAGGCUGAAAGAACAGCGAUAUCAUUACUUAUCAAUGAUUAUUCUCAAUUAUGUACAGUCAAAAAUAUUGAUGCAAGGAAUGAGGCAAAGUUUUCCCAAUAAACAUCUAGUAGACGAGCCAUUUCUAAAUAAAAACCACACAGUACAUUCAUCAAUUAUCAUGGAAACUAUUAUAAACAAUUAAAGAUUAUUUUCAUGUCAACUUAUGUGCUAUUUGAUAUUUGUUUUUCCCUUUUACAAGUGGCAUACUUCCUGAACAGGAAAGAUCAACAUCUAAAUUAAAAAAAAACACUUCUAAAUUCUAAGUUUUAAUGUGCAUUCAUUUUGAUACUGAGUUUUGUUUUACUGCAACUUCAGUUAUAAAACAAUUGAUUGAAAAGUUGCUUUCCAACAUUAUGACUCAUCAUUAACCAAAAUUUGAAUAAAUUCACAUGUUAUGCAAAACCUAUUUGACGAGCUCAGAAUUACUUAAACAAAAAGUAUGGCUUGAAUGUGGAAUUUUUUGGUGACAAAUCUGUCAGCAUGAACAUUGCUAAAGAUAAGUGAUAGUAUGGAUUAGUUCUCCAUCUUUAUGUUCCAAUAAGUUUGUUUAGAUCACAGCCAUGAAGAACCUUAGUCCACCAAAAUUAUAAUCAUGAAUUCCAUUCCAUAUAUCGGUUCUGAAUAAACUACUAUUCAAAUAUUUUACCAAAUGAAGCAAUAACCACUUCCAGUACUCUCUGUGAUUUCCCCAGCUUAGAAUUUGAGAUAUUGGAACUAACUUAACAUCCCAUCAUGUAUAAGUUGUUGACUGAAGUUGAUCAUGAUUCCACAGGUACUGAUAGUUAAAGUAUUGAUCAUCGAAGUAAAAAAGAAAAAAAAAGAAUGAGAAGAGAGUAUAAAAAUGCUAUUUGUUAACAGUUCAUAUAAUGUAGUAAUUGAAGCAAUAUAGGUUUUGUUGGAGUAAUAGAGUCGGACCUGAAUCUGAUUAUUCAGGUUCUGAGUGAUUAGUUCAAAAGCAAAGCUUUGAAGGGCUGUUCAAGUAGUAGACUGCAGAUUUUUUACCAAUUAGAUAUGGUGGUAUUUUGGGACCUAGUUUGGAGAGCAUAAACCGAUGUUUGACAAGGUAUAAAAGGAAUUUCUGUCCUUAAGAAUUUAAUUUAAAGUGUGAAGAACCACAAAUAACUUAGCAAUAUCAAAUUUGCAAUUGCAACCAAGAUCUUGAGAAACACAUCAAAAGGAUUGAUUCCAGACAAAUAAAUGACUAAAUUCAGAUAUACAUGUCCUUUAUUGAUCUAUAGAAUAGUUAUGGUUAAGAAAAUGUAGAAUCAACACUUCUAAUGUAUAACUUGAACUUGGAAAGUAGACAAACAAAGCAAAGAUCAACUUUCAUGAACUCAGUGGGGGAAUUUGAGCAAGGCCUGUCUAUUCAAAUCUGAUCUAACUACAUUGUACCCAACCUAAUUAAACCCAACCAACACGAUCCAACUAUUUCAAUCUUGACUCAAACCAAGACAACACAACAAAAUCUAGUUAAACUGAACUUAACCCUACCAAUCUAGACCAAGCAGAGCCAGCCCAAUCCGACUUAGAGUAGAUGUAAGUCAACCUCCUAACUUUGAAACAACCUCCAAGUUGCCACUUCUAAAGAUCAAUUCGAGCAACUUCCUUCAAAACAACACUAUAUUAUGGAAUUGUGGUUUAUCAAACUAUCCAAUACUAUGGACUUUAAUUGGAUUUUCAAAAAGAAGAAAAGAAAAGAAAAACCUAACUGUAUCGUCAUAUGAUCACCAAUAGAAAAGAAAGGCACAGGAAGGUUAAAGGGGAAAAAACAGAAAAGAAAAAAGAAAGAAUCAGAAAAGUGGAUGAGUGACAACUUACUUAUUAAAACAAUUCGCCAUCUGUUGAAACUACUCUGGAUCCUAAUUUUUCAGCUUCUUGGCUUAUUNNNNNNNNNNNNNNNNNNNNAUACCAUUUACUUUAAAAGAAGAACAGGACUUGGCAAAAUAUUACAAUAACCAGCUUCCAAUUGGUUAAAAUAUGAAUCCUAAUUCUCAAAUUACCUAUCUAUAAAUACUACCAAGACCAAAUAAAACACCAAGAAAGAAGACCAUAUAAAAUACCAAGAAACAUGAUCAAGAAAGUAAUAUUCACAAGGGUCAACAACAUUUUGCGAUUUCUUUUUCUGAUAACCCUUUUUGUGUCAUCUAAAGACCAAAUCAAGCACAAAAAAGCAAUCAGCUCCAAAGAAAGCUCAGCAAAGAAAAAACCCACAGCAAAUAAAACCAAUCUUUAACGUACUCAAACUUUGAAAUAGUGAAAAGAAAAUCCUACCUCCUCUUUAUUAGGUGAAACCUGCUCAUCUUGCCUAGAUGAGGUCGGUGUCACCAAUUCGGCCACUGGAGAGGCUCCCCUUUUCGCCAAGCUCGCUGUCUUGGAUCUCUCCAGCCAGGAUUUCCUUUCUUUCAGUGCGGAUUCUGUGUCAUUUUACCCCAAAAGGCACAAAAGAAUCGGAAAUCAGAGAAUUAGGGUUAUAAUCCGAAAAAAAGAUGGAUUGAUGAGUGAGAGACAUAUCCCAGGGCAUCAACAGGCAUAGGGUUUGGGGUUUGGCGAGGUUGGGAGAGAGAUAAAAGAGAGAGGAGAGAGAGAGAGAGGCAGGACAAUCUUGGACGCCAGGAGGCGGUGAAGAACGGAGAAGGAGGCCAUUGCGACCCUUUUAUUGACUAAAUUGAGAGAGAGAUUAGGGUUUGAAGAGGAGGAGAGGAGGGGAACAUACCAGGAGUGGAGAUUCCGCACUUGAAGCAAGCGAAGAGUCGAUCGACGUCGUUCGUGGGAUCGUAAGCCAUGGCGGUGGCAAGAUCUGUUUUCCCAAAGCGAAUAUACAAGGGCUAUAUUCGUAUUAUUAACGCGGUCUCUGCUCGCUGGCAAUGAGCGGGAAAAGAGACCUUUGGUGCGUUGUCCGCAGGACCAGCGAAAGGCAGGGUUAAGGGGGCACCUACGCUCGUCAAGGGGGCGUUUGGGGAUCCCAACAGGAGGCGUUUGGUAUGGAGUGAUCAUCCCCGGAUCAAGAGUGAUAUAAGUAAAGGUGAUAAGAUCACCGCAUUUAGUUGCACCACGGUGAUCCUACAUGACGAUAAUCCUAAAUUACCUCCACUCCUCCUAUCACUGCCCAACUCGGUGAUGGGAUACCCGUCCUUAAGGUCGGAAAUCCAAGAUCACCCUAGAGCAGUGAUCCUGGAUUGAAAAUUAAAGACAAAAAUACCCCUCAAUAUACGAUCAAUAUAUUAUGUCAAUGCUAUAUAUAUAAUAUUAUAUUGAUAUUAUAUAGUAUAUUAAUGAUAUAUUAUAUUAUAAUAUAUUACUAAUCAUAUUAUUAUCCUAUUAUUAUUGAAGGAUAAUUUUAAAUUAUAGUAGAAAUAUAUUAUUAUAUUUUAUAUUUAUAUAAUGAAAAUAUUUAAUAUAUUAUUCUAUUUACCUUAUUUAUCUAAUCAAAAUAAUUAUUAGUAUUAAAAAAUCUAUUAUAAUUAUAAAUAAAAAUAUUAAUUCUAUAAUGAAAAAUAAGAUAUUUUUUGAAGAUUAAUAAUUUAUAGGAGUAAUAAAUAUAUUUUUAUAGAAUAUAUUAAUAAUUAAUAUAUUGAUAAAUAUAUUAAUAUUUUAUAUGAUUAAUAAAUAUAUAAUAAGAGCUACUAAAAGUAGAAUAUGUGAUAAAAUUAUGAUGCUAUUAUAGAAUUAGCAUAUUGACUUGCAUUUUUGAUUCAUGAGAAUUAAAAACAUAUAAAAAGUUCAUAUAAAAUAUAUCAGGGGUAUUUGUGGUAUUAUGUGGUCGGUGAUCUUUGAUCCCCUUACCAUACCAAACAAGUUACUCAUGGAUACCUGAGGAUUUUUAAUCACUGGACCAUUGCCUACCAAACACAUUGAUCUUAGAUUACUGGGAAUCAAAUCAUCCCAGUAUUCGGAUCACCGAGGAUCUUAGAUCACCAUGGUGAUCCUAUUGGGGUUACCAAACGCCCCGUAAGGAAUCCAGGAACACUACAUAGAAUGGCGAUAUACACUGCAGUCUCUUUUUGGGAGACAUCAUCAUUUUCCAUCAACCCUGUUUCAGUAACGGCAGAAUUUGCCAACGAGGAUUACUAUCAGGAGAAGGCCAGAUAUGAAUCCCAUCGCAAGAGGCAGUCCUUCGAGAACAACAUAACUUUCUUCCGUGUCAUUUUCCUCCUCCUCUGGAGGCUUUGAAGUGGAAUUGCAAACUAAGAAAAAUUCACCACAGAGACCAGGAUUCCCUUCAAAGCUCGAACUCGAGAAGGUUGAAAACUGACCUCCCUUGGGAAUUUGGCCCUGCAAGCGGUUGUGAGCAACACUGAACGAAGAUAAAACGUAAGGUUGAUAAGGGAGGCAGGUAUNNNNNNNNNNNNNNNNNNNNNNNNNNNNNCCCCAAGGAUGGAUAUCCCAUUACCAGGUUGGGCGAUGAUUUGAGAAGUGGAGAUGAUUUAGGAUCACCACCACGUAGAAUCACCGUGGUGCAACCAAACACAGUGAUCUAAUCACCUCCACCCACAUCACCCUUGAUCCUGAGACGAUCACCCCAUACUAAAUGCCCCCCAAGGGUCUAGUUCAACUUGAGAAACAAAUUAUUAUUUUUUAUAUGAAUACCCUCCUAAAUAUCAAAUUUUGUAUAAAUAUUAUUUCAAAAUUAAUAUUUACAUAUAUAUAUCUUCAUAAAUACUUAUUUUGCUAUUCUACAUUUUUUUUUUGCUAUUCUACAUUUUUUUUAUUCUUGGUUUUACAUAUAUACCCACGCCAUCUAACGCCGUUAAAAAAUUAACGGUUUCAAAUUAAAAUGAUUAAAAUAUUUUUAAUAGGUAAAUGUAAAUAAGGUGAUCGUGAUGGAGGAUAAAAAUGUAAUUUCAAAAUGUAAUUUUAUUUUUAAUUAAAAUAAAUAUGAUUUUUAUUAAUAGUAUUAGAAGAAUCGUUAUAUUAGAAGCAUUUGUGCAAAAACAGUAUUUUAUGAAGGUACAGAAAUAAAUAUAAAUUUUAAGAGGGUAUUCAUAUAAAUUCAAAUUUUCAAAAGGAUAUUCAUACGAACAAAUUAUUGCAUUUAACCUCCUAGAAAUAAGUAGUAUGUCACUUAUCAGAACUUUUUUCUAUGGCAAGUUAUAACUACUGCUCUUAUGCCGCUUGCAAAGAGAUCCUAUUGGAUGAAAACUCUUACAGUAAGUUUAAACCAUAAAAAAAAUCACUUACGAUGAGAGAUUGUGUAUUGAGACUAGCUUGCAGCUUCACAGCUUCACAUAGACAAAAUCUUGUUGAGCUUCAGCUAGUCGCUGCAUCUUGCAUGUAAAAACUAGUUCAUGUUUAACAAAAAAAACUUAUUAUGGUGGAUUUCCACCGGUCUUGAAACCCUUACAAAUAAGAAAUUAUUAGUUAAACUAGAUCUACUAGCUUACUGGUCCUAUCAUAAAGCACCGUGCAUCAUAUUUUUUUAAAAAAAGGAAAAAAAGAGAAAAAUAGGAGUCGAGUGCAUUCCAACCCUACUUGCCUCUCUCUUUUUUUUUUUCUUUCCCCAUAGUUAAAACCCCAUUUAGACUCUCCUCUGUUCCUAUCUUCCUCCCUCCUUUAUCCCCACAGUUUUUUUUUUUUUUUAAUGCAGCUAUUGCAAGAUUUUGCCUCCCUGUAGGGCUCUUGGAGAGGGCAGAAGAAAAGGGGUAGUGAAGGCCGCAUUUACCAAUGCCAACUACAAGAGGCUGCUGCUCGGAGACAAGGAGGCCAAGGCGACAACGCGGGCGGCGGCGCCGAGAAAGAGGAGACAAGAGUCUUGAGUAUUUUAGAAUCUAAUUUAGAUUUAUACAUUGUAGUAAAAAAAUAAAUAAUUUGAAGUUAUAAUUAUUCCAAAUAAAAACACAACAGUGAUAUCUAAUCCAGUUAGCCAAAAUUUAUGUCAAUGUUGAUAUAACUAUAUAAAUAUAUCAUAUGCAGCCGUUAAUUGGUGACCUCCAAUAUCUUAAAAAAACAGUAUCUUGUUUUUUUAGAAAAAAAUAUAUAUCGUAUUUAAUUACAGUCCUGAUCUUUUUUUUAUGGCUAUAACUCUUAAAUAAAAAGCCCAAACAAAAAGAUGCAUGAGAGCGUCAUGAUAAAUGGAUGAGUCAUCCUCCUCGAUCCUGACACCAUGUAAAAGCAACUAUAUUUCUUAGAGCCAUGGUGCGAGGCACUAAUUUUGUGCACAAAACACUUCUCUUGUCAUAUGGCAUAAGAUUAUCAGUGCAAUCCACAGGAUUUGUUGCCAUGGACAAGGGAUUAGCUGAUUAUAGAAUUUUCAAAUCAGCACUUGUGGGUGCAAUCAACUUUUGUGUGUGUGUGACGGACAUCCCCUAUCCCCUAGCUUCAAUCCCCAUAAUAAUCUGAAUUACAUUUCUAGUUUAAAACUUUAAAUCGUGCCAACCUUUUAUAAAUGAGAGACUCUAAUUUUGCUAGGUUCAAAGAGUAUAAGCAAAAAUUUACAUGAUUUUAGAUAUAAUAAGAGUCAUUAGUCCUUUAGAAUCUAAAAUCAUAAUGAUUCUUUGGUCGAAGAAAAACUUAUUUAAAAUCUUUAGCAGUAUCAUUGCCUCAUCCACACUACUUUUUAAAACAACUAUUCUACAUCUAAAAUCUUUAGUAGUAGCAUGUGCCCAAAUUCAGUAAGAAAAUGAAAAUUAAAUCCUCUCAAAGGAGGGAGAGAGAAGGAAAAUGGAAAAAAAAAAGAAAAGAAAGAGAGGGAAAGAAGAAACUAAAGAACCCAAGGGUGCCAGACAAGAAUUACAAACUUAAGCAUGAGAACACACUAAACAACCAAUUUCUUGUCUUCUGGAGACAAGUUUAGUCCAGUCCUCCAGGAGGAAGAAGAUCUUGUGAAUCAACACUUUUUGCUGCUAGAUGUGUUUCAAAAAAUCUGGACUCUCUCUCUAGCCAAAUGGUCCAACCGAGAAGAACCCCUAUGACAUUCCACCCCUUUCUUUGCUCCUUCAAACCAUCAAAAUGCACACAAACCAUUAAUCACUAAUAAGAUUUAGGGAGAGUGGAUCAGUUUAGCUUGGAAAUGCAAAGAAUUACCAUAGCUUACAGGACAUGGUCGGCUACAACGAUAAGUGCAAGGUUGUCUACAAUGGUCAGUGCCAGGUCGAACAGAAUUAAAAAAUUUCUGCACAUACAUGGCAAGUACAAGGUUGUCCACCGUAGCAAGUCAGCAAGCUACAGUUUUUGGAUUUUUCUACAGAUCCAUCUCAAUCAUCAUGUCCUUGAAUGAACCUCAUCAGCAGUAGUUGGAUUCUUAUUCGUAUAGAUGGCAUACCAAAGUUGGUCGGCAAAUCCAAUUUAAAACCACAACAUAGAUCUUUUUUUCUGUUCUAUAUAUCCUCUCGUCGACACUUUGCCAACUAACCAUUGCAAUAUUCGGGAAAGCAGCCAUAGCAACAGAUCAAAUUGGCCAACAGAUCCCUGAUUUUUUGCAAGGAUUCCACUGGCUCCUCUUUCUAUCCUUUUAUCUACAAGAUGCAUCUGUCAUGCUCUAAUAUACUUCCAUGGGAUCAUAGUGGUAGGAUUAUUUAAAGGAAUAUAUGCCAAUCCCUUCUCAGCAACUCCACCAGUCGCAUCACGGGCAACUUAACGGUACCCUCGCGUGCCUCAGUGGCCUUCGAGCCACCCACCAUCAUGCAAUUUUUAGGAGUUUUGGUAGUAUGUUUGGUAUGUAUCUGUAUUGUUGCGCAUGGAAAUAUGCCUGUGGGAAUUCAUCAGAAUAUUUUUUAAUGAUACAUUCCGGGUUCAUCCUUCAAAGUGGUGGCGGUGGCAACUAGAGGCUUGUUGUCUAGCAGCACCACCAAUGAAAGUGACAAGCAUAAUACAUUGAUGCCCUGGGUGGCCAUUUAUCUUUUUUUUUUUUUUUUCUUUCCUAAAACGGAUGAUUCAUACAAAUCUAGUGCAGAUAUAUCCCAUAAAAUUAAAAUACACUAGUCACGUACGUGAUCGCCCAGUCCGUGGCCAUGUUGGUCUUCUUGUAGACAUGCAUAGCUUGAAAAACUACCUCACAGACCAAAGCUCGAAUGUCCCGGAUCAUAGGAUGGCACACAUCCACACUGCCAACCGUCUGCUAGAUCUAUUCGAUGACCGUAGCCGAGUUCCCCUCAAGUAGCACUGUGCUAGCUUGCAAAACUCACCGGGCAUAACUAAGCCCGGCCCAUGCCGCCCUCAGCUUUGUUCCGGAACUGAGGUGUCAAAAAUCUGGCAAUCUCCAGCUGCAACCACAUCCAUCUUUUCUUCUUGAAAUGAAUUUUAAAUAAAACCAUGGAAGGUUUAAACAUAUCUUGACUUAUAUAAUGGUUAAAAUACUAAAUUAUAGAACAAUGCAUUAACUAGCAAGACCAAUUGAUGCUGAAGGCAUUGAAUAGAAUAUGUAGCAUCAGAUUUGAAGAUAGAACUUGCUCAAAAAAUUAAGAAUAUAUAUGUAGAAAUAAGUGGUACUUAAAAAAUAACAUGGUUGUACAAGAAAAAUAUAGAUAUCCGAAAGUUUGAUUCAAAAUGUAUUAAUUUAUACUGGCCAAGGUAGUGCCGUAUAGUGAUCUAUAUUCCUACUAGCAAGUGCAUAGCAUUGUCAUAAGGCAAGGCAAUAGCAUAGCCAAGAAGAAAAUCUUGAUGGGUUAACCAUAACAUCAAAAGAUCAUAUAUUCCUACUAGCAAGUGCAUGGUAACGUCGUAAGGCAAUAGCCUUACAACUUGAGUGUCUUUAGGCUGGACUUGCUUGACGAAGGUAAAUGGAAACUCGUAGUAUUUUCAGAAGAAGGCCAUAACAUGGUCGGUCAUAGAAGAAAAACCAUAAAUAUAUCAGGCUAUCGCCUAAUGUUCGAGAUGGAUGAAUUUAUACUGACCAAUAUGCCGAUACUCGAUACACAUAUUGGCAAGUGCCGUAGUUUUGUCAUAAGCCAAUAUCAUGGUCAAGGUGAAAAUCUUGCUUCUAAAACGUGAGCGCCAUCUGCUUUCCUUCCAGGGUACUUGAGUUAAUCUUGGGUUAAACUUGGGCAUGCACCAAGCUUUGCUACUAAUCUAAUUUGUCUUACAACUUUACUGUGUCAAGGUCCAAUUAGCACGCCAGCCAGGCCAUCAAAUCCGGGCCAGGGAGACUUGUUGACUCAAAAGCAAUUAAUUUUGGAAUCAACUUAGAUUUGACUCCAUGACUAAAUCAGCUGGCUGGUACAGGAGAAUUGGACACGCCACAUCCUCUCAUUCCUUUCGAUGAAGGGAGACAAGGCCACUUAAUAACGGAGAUGCCGCAUUAAGCAGGGCGAGAUACUUUGUUUUUUUUUUUUGAUAAAUUAGAUGCAUUAAAUUAAACUAAAUAUAAAUAGAUACAUUUGUGAGAAUUAAAAAAUAAAAUAUCUUAAAACUAAAUUAAAAAAACCAGCCAAAAAAACAUAAUAUUGAUCCCGCAUGGUUAGUCAUCCAAUAUACCAUCUAAUCAGAAGUACUGUUUGCAAAAUAUCAUAGUUUGAUUUUUUUUCUCUUGAUGUGCACCUGAUAUUAAUUAUCAUACUUACUAUCCAUACACUGUUGUCUCUUGACCCAUACGUUGGGCCCUCCAUGCUACAUCAUCAGCCCAAUACUCAUACAACAUGCAGGGAAACCUCACUCCAAUGCCGCUAGCUAAUAAAAAUUUGGCACGUCAUAUAUGGUCCUGUCUACAGGACAUCAGUGUCCACCUAUCAUUUGCUACGAUUGAUGUCGUCGUGUACGUGCAUUGGCGUGGAGCACCUAAUUGAACGUGUGCGUAUUAAAUGUCGGAUCGGCUUUCUAUUUUACCAUAUUUUUUAGCAUUCAUCUUAAAGCAGAAGUCUGAUCCUAUGAUUAAAAAAUAAAAAAAGUAAAUCGGGUGCAACAACCUCUUUCUUUCUUAUUUUUGGAAUAUAUUUUCUACUGGUAGAUACUAUAUGACUAAGUGAUGCACAUUAAGUAAAUUGAUACAUAGUUUUCAAAAUAUUAUUUUUAUUAGCGCACACUACAUAGUGGAAUGAUAUACACUAAACAAAUUAAGUAAUCAGAUAAGACAAUACAUAGCUCUAGAUAAAUCGAUAUAUAGUUUCUAAAAUAUAGUAUUCAUCAGUACCAAUAUAUAGUGUACGAUUUUCUAAUUUUAUCUAGCAUAAGAAAUUAUAUAUACAUAUCAUUUUUUAAAUUUUAUGAAUAUUUAGGUGCAAAAAUUUUGAAAAAGAAAAAAAAACUUGGAGGAUGAGAAAAAUCUAGGAAAGAAAAAAGAAAACAAUGAUGGAUAGAGAGACAUAGCGAGAAAGAAAAAAAGAAUGUUAUAUGUGAAAUACUAAAAUAAUAGGCUACUUCGCUUGUUAAAGCUGUACCUAAUUUUGCCUAAUUUUUGAGCUUUUAUGGUAGGUACCAGAAGAAAAAAAAAUCUAAAAUAGAAAGCCCACCCCAACUGAUUUUUGUUCCUUGUGUUCGUCCUAUAAGCGGGGAAGUUGUGGGAAAUAAAAACCACCCAAAAUAAAACAAAACACCGGAGUCCAAAGAUCCCGGUUCCGUCUCCUACCCUCAGAUUUGAUGCUUAAGCAACCUAACGGUUGUAUCUUUUGCACAAAAGAGUAAUUGAUCUUCUUUCAAGACGUCGACCUUUGGAUCACGUCUUACACAGAUCUCAAAUCACUCCGUAGUCCAUCAUUAACCAAGUGCAUGGAUCUCGAAGACGCUAUUACGCGAUCCAACGAUGGAUUCGCAGGAAGAAAGGUAAAUCCUUCUUUCGCGUGCAAGAUACAACCCCUAUCCGUCCCAAUCACUCACCGGGCCACUGCACAAGUCAAGGAAAAGCGGCAAACCCAGAUACCGACCAAACCCCUCUUCCUCUCUUCUCAGCUUCCCUCUCCACUUACUCUUGCAACCAAAAUUUCCUUCUCCCAUCUCAUAAGUAGGCGAAUAGCCUUGACCACUCCCCUGGUUGUUCGAUAGGGAAGAGAAAAAAGAGAGAGAAAUAAAGGUGAUGGCGGAGGAGUCGUGCUGCGGGCUGAUGUUCUGGGUGUAUCUGCUGAUAUGCGCGGCGUUGGUGUCGUUCGCGGGGUUGAUGUCCGGCCUCACCCUCGGCCUCAUGUCCCUCAGCCUCAUGGACCUCGAGGUCCUUGUCAAGGCCGGCCAGCCCGAGGACCGGAAGAGAGCCAGUAGUCCACCAUUACUACUCUUCUUUCUCUCCUGUCUCUGCCUCCAGCUCCACUUUUUAUUCUUUCUUCAUCUCAUCUUCUCCAUGUGUUUGUGCUUUUGGGCGCAGCCAAGAUUCUGCCCGUCGUCAAGAAUCAGCAUCUGCUGCUCUGCACCCUUCUCAUCGGCAACUCCCUGGCCAUGGAGGUCCCACCCUCGCUCUCGUCCUUUUCUUGGAUUAUUAGGUUUGAGGAUUUUGGUGCUGCAGAUAACCUCUUCGUCAUAUUCAGGCUUUGCCCAUAUUUCUUGAUUCUUUGGUUCCGGCGUGGGGGGCGAUACUGAUAUCCGUGACCCUUAUCUUGGCUUUUGGUGAGGUAAUUUCUUGAAUGUUUGCUCACUUAUUUCAGAGGGUUGGAACUUUGGGACCGGAGAUCAGUUUCUUGACGGGAGCAUAUUUGCUUUUCAUUAACCUAUAGAGGGGAGAUACAUGAUUUGAUCUCUUGUUGGUUUUCAAGAUAAUUCCGCAAGCAGUGUGUUCACGCUAUGGAUUGAGCGUGGGAGCCAAGCUGGCUGGGGUUGUUCGAGUGCUUUUGGUGGUCUUCUUCCCCGUAUCUUAUCCUAUUAGUAAGGUAACUCCUCCUUGCUUUGAUUUAUUCAGAAUUAGAAUCAUGGAUUUGAAACUUUUAAGGGUGAUUUAAUUCAUUAUCUUCUGCAACCUCUACCAUGGUAGAAGUUUGUGGCAUUUUACUAGCCUCGAUUAGAUUGGUCUACUCUUUGAAUAACAUCAAACGAUGGAGACCUUGAUCAAACAUGAAAACCAUGUGAAUGGCAACCCAAUUUUGGAAAGAUAUAAUAUUUGAAAAUUUCCUUUUAAUUUUGAAGUGCUGGAGGUACAUGCUUGUUUCAGGAGAAAAGAAACUACAUACGAACCACACAUAUACCCCUGCCAUCCUCAUCUUACUUGACACAUGAUACAUGGUCCAGUUUGAUAGUCGGCUUGCAUAUGCAAAUGAUGGACUAUUUUAGUAAUUCACAGUACUUAUUUGUCUAACAUACGCAAAUGAUGGAGUAUUUUAGCAAUUCAGAAUAUACAUGACUUUUAAAUUGUGUUUAAAACAUGGAGUAAGGUUUAUCAACAAAAGAAUUGAGGAAAAACAGUUUUGGAAUUAGUGCAACUUUACUGUUCCUAUCUUCCCAUACAUGUUUUUCUUUACAGUCUUCUAAGUGAUGAUUAACUCACUUCCUUUGGCUAUAAGCCAUUACUAAUGGUUCUACAAUCAUUCUUCACAAAAUGUCAACUAAGACAGUACCACAAUGCAAGGUGCGACAAUACUUGAAAGCAGCAUCUAUUUUGAUCAUAUCCAUUUUCAAGGUUUUCUAAGAGUCAGCCUUCACUGGGCUUCAUGUUCUCAAAGUUGCUGAGAAUCUCUUAGGCUUGCUUCUAUUGUUUACUUGUUUCAACUUUAAGGAUGACGACCUUUUCUUUUAAGUGCAAAACAUACUUGAAGUAAUCUUCAGACCGUCUAUUACUUGUCUGGGUUAAAUAUAUCUAAUGAAAUGCAUGCAUUGUUUGUUAUUGAUGGCACCAGGUCAUCUUUUUUUUUUUUGCAUUUCCUCUUUUUCCAUAAUUCUGAAAAUCAUAUGCCCAUGGGUCCCACUUGACCUAGGUUAAUCAUUAAUGCAAACAUGCAUACUAAGAGAAAUCUUAAUGACUUCAUCUUAAGAUACUUGUCUGUCUUUAUCCAGUCUUCCUAUGUUUCCUUAUGCUUCUGUAGAAUUGAUACUUGAUAUUUUAAUAUCGAUGCUCUUUACAGCUGUUGGACUGGAUUCUGGGAAAAGGGCACUUUGCACUAAUGAGGAGGGCUGAGUUGAAGACGCUGGUGGAUAUGCAUGGAAAUGAGGUUGGCUUUAUCUCAUACUUCAUUACUAUUUGUCGAGUGUUUUAACUAAGAAGAAGAUUAUUUAUAGUAAGACCUAUUAAGACUGGACACUUUAUUGCACAUAAGCCAUUUAUCUAAUGUAUGAUAUGAUUUGAUGUGACGGGUAAUUGAUUAUGAGUCUGCUCAGGUCCACACACAUAUUUAUAGUGACUAUGUAUAGUGACAUAAUUUAAAAGGUCAAGAGAAGUUUAUAAUCAUUAGGUGUAACCCUUUAUGUAUCAAGCAGGCUAACGAAUGUGAAAUCCUCAAACCAUUGGAAUCUCCAUCUUUAUAUGCGAACAGUAGUAUAUGUUUCAUGAAUUGCAACAUGCAACUGGAAUGAACUUAUCAAUUAGAAAUAGAAAGUUGGUCUUGAUAAAAUAAAGACAUGCCAUUCAUCUAAAUACUUGUGUGAAGAAAUGAAAAAGGUUUUCCAAACUGAUAACCUUAUGAAUAGAAGAAAGAAGUCGUGUAUGUUUUGAUGCUUAUGUAUUUCAGAAGAAAGAUAACAGUAGCAUUGUCUAAAGGUGUAUGAAAACUAAAGCAAUAACUAGAGGCGGCUUAUCUUGUGCAAUCUUGUGACAAAAUCAGACUAAGCUAACAUGCAAGACCAUAACAGUUUCGCACCAUCAAGAUGAGGUCCCAAUAUUGAGCUUUUACAGUCUUACCAUUGAAACAGAAUAUUCUCCGUGGAAGAAAAAUCUUGAUGCAUUUGUGAAAUAAUUUAUCAAUUAAAAGCAAUAUGAUACAGCUGAAUUCUUCGAAUAUGUGAUUUUCAUAUUGUUAUUUUAUGUGCGGGCAGUUGCAAAAUUUGGGGAGAUUUUUGCUAUAUGAUAAGAUAUUGCUUUCAUUAGUAAAAUUAAUUCCAAUGAUAGCAUGGAAUUGAUUUCCAGGUUCUUGAUUGUAGCUUUGGCGAUCUAACAGUUUCUUCCUUUUCAAAUAAUUACCACUGAAUUAGUUGCCUUUUUUCCUUCUCCUGUCUCCAACUAGUUUUGUUCAAUAACUAUAUCACAAAAAUUUAUUCAUCGCCAACUUUUAAAUAAGUCUCUGAAUCUUGUCCAGAGAUUGAUGGUGUUUAGUCUGGACACCCUGUGGUCUCGAAGAAGUUUGUUCCUGUCUUAAAUCCCUCAUUCUUUUAUUACUUCUGUCUAUUGAUAAAUAGUGCUCAGAUAAAUGGAUCUCUCUCAUUUUGUUAUGGGUCUUCUUAAACCUUCUAUGUUGCUGUGUGUGUCUUUAUCUACUUUGUCUGUACAAUUCUUAGGUGCUAGUUUUGGUGAUUUUGGCUCAUUCCUUGGCACCUUUAUCACUCUACCUCUUCUCAUAAUCUCUAUCUUUAAUUUAUUACGUGAGGAUCCUUAAUAGAUCUAUGCCACCUUUUUGGUUUUAUUUUUAUUCUUAUCUUUUAUUAUUAAUUUUUUUCAGCAUUUUAUUACGUCACCUUUCUCCUUUUUUAGUCUCAUGUGGCUUAUCAAGUUUUCGACAUUUGGUCUCUAUGUGUCUUCGUAAUUGGCUUUCUACGUGUUUGCUUCAUUGCCUACAGUAUAUGACCCAUCAUAUUUCAACCUGCAAUCAUGGCAACUCUACAACAUUGUGAUGAUGGAUACAACUAUUCAUGUUGAUCCAAAGGAUUGUGGCAUGUGAGACAUGGUGUGCAAUUACCAUAAAUGCCUAUCAUAGUCAAUUCUAUCUUCAUUGUAUAUCUGCACUUUCUUUGAUCAUAAUAAUUUUGUCAUGUGAAGCUCUUCAUAAUACUAUAUAUAAAUCUGAUUUGUGUUAAACUUGCCCUUCCCUCCACUAAUGUUUUGUUUAUGACUUCUGUCAAAUAUUUCAUAUUUUAGCAUGGUGACACAUAACAUCCAAUUAAGAAUGCGUAGAUGAAUAUACGUAAUGGUUUUGAGAUUAAGUGUAUUUUGUGCUUUUUUAAUUAAUCAAAUUCAGCAGCAGAGAGUGUUCUUCUAAUCUGCUUCUUUGAAGUUUUUGGAUCUCCAGAGUUACAGAUAUUCAUUUUAUUAAGUCUUAUUGUGUUUUAUAAUGUUAUAUACUCUGGAUUUACAUGUUCCGCAUGUUUAUGGGGGGCUACAACCUGUAGUAACUGUGUCCAUAUACGUAAGUGUGUAUGUAUACUAUAGAUGGACUUGUAUACAUAUGUACAGAAACACAUAUGCAUGCAUGUAAAACAUAUGUAUAAGGAGUCCUAGCAAAGAUUUAAUCAGAACAAAAUACAUAAGGGACCAUUGAAAGUUGGGAUCCACAAUAUUAACAUGAUUUUUACAUAUGAAAUGCUUUUUGGAUAACUAUAAUCAUGGAGCCUUUUCCCAAUUCCUAAUCUCCAACUAUUCCUGUUAGGGGCUACCUACGGUGUUAUUGCAAGCUUUUUCAAAUUCCUUUCUCACAACUUCUAUCUGGUUAGCUUUAGUGCUCCUCUCCUCUUUCUAGAACCUUUACCACAAAUUUGAGCUCCUUUUCUUGCCAGAGCUUCCUCAAGUUUUUGUUCUGCACAUGGUAUGCUGAAUCGGCCCGUAUCGGCCGGUUCAACCUGGGCCGGACUGGUCUGGUCCCUGACUGAUCCGGUUCAAGCAUAGAAAACGGUUGGGCCGAAACCGAGCGGUACAAGCCUGGUAUCGGUGCAAACCAGACCGGUUCGCACGCCCUGGGCAGCGCACCUGCGUGGGCACGAGCUGGGAACCCCGCCUGUGCGCGGUUCCUUGUGCUUGAAACUGUGCCCGUGCGGGCACGCGAUAGGCAGCACGCCUUGCGUGGGGCAUUUAAUGUCAUAGAGUGGUACCGGUUUGAAUCGGUCCGAACUCGAACCAUACCGAUCCAGUAAGCGAUUGGUACGCCUACCGGUACCGGUACGACGUACCUUAGUUCUGCAUGCCUCUAACAGAAAUCAGUUAAUUUAAAUGUUUACGAUUUAUUAUAAGACAACAAUUGGAUUAAUUUUUGGUAUAGAAGUAUUUGAAUCCACUCAAUGCUGGCUGAUAACUAUUUGAACUUGGAAGCUUGUAUGCCACGAUUGGUGGUCUUGGUUCUUAGUUUACAUGGGUCACCAUUGGUUCUUAACAGAAGUUGCAUUCAACAACAUAUUCCUUGUUUUUUUUACAUGACUUUUAUCUAGUCCUCUUUUUUUACACUAUAUAAAAUAUUAAUGCAUCAUAUCAAUUUGUUAUACAUGAGUGUCAUGCACUCACAAACUAUUUUAUGCUGUAGACAAUUAAUUGUCUAUGCAUGUGUGCAUGCAUGAGAGUCUGUGCUUAUUUUCUUCAAAUAAAUGGGGUGUGUGUGUGUGUGUGAGGGGGGGGGGGCUCUUAACCCCUCACACCUUUUCGAAAAAAAAAAGAUUAUGUGCUUAUAUAUAGUAGGAUGGCAAACGAACAAUGAAUUGAGAAUAUACAUUAGAAAGGUUUAAUCUUAACUGCAAUGUAUCUGAAACAGCUUAUGAUGGUAAUGUUUAAUUUUCUUGGUGUGCAGGCAGGAAAGGGUGGAGAGUUGACUCAUGAUGAAACCACUAUUAUUACUGGAGCAUUACAGAUGACCGAAAAGACUGCGAGAGAUGCUAUGACGAAAAUAUCCGAUACCUUUUCCCUCGACAUAAACUUUAAUCUUGAUAUGUCUGUGCUUUUGUCCUGUUACUGUAAAAUUGACUUUUACAUAUGUUCGUAUUAUUGACAUUUAUCUCUUUUUAGGUACACUAUGGGUUUAAUAAUGACUAAAGGGCAUAGUCGUGUGCCAAUCUACUCUGGGAGCCCAACAAAUAUUAUUGGCCUUAUUUUGGUGAGUAAGAUAGCUAGCUAAUGAAUAUGUAAAAUUUCUAAAAGCUUUGAUCUUGAAAUAAAACAUGAGAACAAUAUCAUUUGUAAUAUGAAGAAGUCUAAAAUAGAUUAGUGAUAGUGUAAAUAUUUACAUUAUUUUUUCAAUUAUUAUGCAUCUCUUUUCCUUGAAAACUUAAAAAGUGAAAUAAUUAUGUAAUCUCUUUUCUGGUUAUAUCUGGUAGCAUUUUAGUAUGUAAAUAAUCGUUCUGUAUAGAAUAUAGUGAAAGCCCUGGGGUUUACCACUCUUCUUGUCAAGGAAUAGUGUUUUGGAGUAGAACUCUAAGUUGAGUAGGCUCCCUGCAUGGAUUGAGUGGACUUCUACUCUCAGUAUGUCAAACCCUUUGAAUUGGUUCUGUUCCUAACUUAGUCAACUUUAGGCAAAAAUAGCUUGUUGGACCUGCCAAUGAGACUAGAAAGCCAACCUUAUCACACUUUUGCUCAUGUAAGCAGGUAACAUUUGCCAACUUUUCCUAGACUUACGAAGGGUUUUAGCAUAGAAGUAACAUGGCAGUCUGAAGCUUUGGAUAAGAUGUUUGAAUUUUUUUAGGCCUACAAAGAGUCUUGGAAGAGGAGGAACAUGAUGGUUUGGUAGAAUGAGCGAUAGCUUUCAAUGAAGUUUUUACCCGUAUUGAUGCAGAGAGAAAAGGAAGAAGGGGCAAUUUGAUCAAUGUGGUUAUACUUCAAAGAUCAACACGCAAAUAGAAGAAAAUUGGAUUGAAGAAUUCUUCACUUAGUGAAAGAAAUUCUCUCGAAAGAAUUUUAUUGAUAUCUCAACAUCUGUCUGUUAUAAUGUAUUACAUAUAUAUUUAUAGGACAUGAUAUGCUAACCCUAAUUCAAGCAUUAAACCCAAUGCAGAAUCAUAUUGAAAAUAGGACUCGACAAUAAGAAAACGUACUACAAUUAUUCUAUUAUAGAUAUGGAAACAUGACUAAAAUUUGAUAAUGUCUCUAAUGAAAAAUUUAUAAAAAAUCUGCCAAAAAUCUCAAAAUGUUGCCUAUUGCAGUUUUUGAUCACGAAUCUGCUGGCUCUUGGCAUAAUCUAGCUGGUCAUAGUGCCUGUUGGCUGCAUCUUAUGCCGCAUUACUUAUUUUACUUAAUCGGAGUCUAACAUGCAUGCUUGAGUUAUUUUGAGUUAAGGAUUUAAAUAUUAGAUAUACUAGCCCAUUUUUAUGCUUGUAUGUGCCAUAUAAGCUAGAAUCAAUAGUCAGUGUCUCCUUGAGACCAUUGCAUGGCUCAAGCUUCCUUGAACCAGCCCUUGAUCAAUCUCAUAUCGCGCGACAUCAAGCUCAAAGCUGUUUUGCACCUUUCUUUUGCUUCUUUCUUUCUUUUUUUUGGUUUCUGAAUAUUUAAUUCAUGAAAUAUGGCCCAUCUAGCUUGAAUAAUGGUUAAAAUAAUUGCAAUAAAAAAAGAUAAAAAUCAGGAUUAAAAAUGGUCAUGCCACAAGGUGCACCGGUCAACGUAGCUGUGUUGGUAGGUAUGCUAUGUCAGGGUGGUAUUUAUCAAUGACAAAUAUGGACCUCUACCUCUAUUUUUUAAAACCUUUUUUAGGAGAUAACAUUUUUUUUGUAUGUUUUCAAUUCAAAACUUUGUUUUUGGCCAUAAAUUUAUACUAUUUUCAGUUGUCAUAUUAAUAAUUGUAUUACUAUUAUAUAGACUUUGCAUAAUUGUAUAGUGCAUGUAGUACACCGCAGAUUAGUAAUUCUGUCAUAUAUGAUACGACUAGUAUGUUAUAAAGUGGGGAACCGUGUUUUCAUGAUACAUAAAAUGAGAGAUUUUAAAAGUAAGUGUAAACAGCUGGUAGUGGUCUUUGCCCCCUCUGCAGUAUGAGCAACUGCAACCUUGAUGGCUAGGCCUGAAAUUGGUAAAACUGAAUUUCUUAUUCUUUAUUUGCAUGCUCUAGAUUCUUUUAGUUGAUGUCAUUUUGAUACUAUGGCGUUCUGACUAUUUAUCUUGCUUUCAGGUUAAGAAUCUGAUCACUUGCCGACCUGAAGAUGAGGUCCCUAUUAGAAACGUUACCAUCAGAAAAAUUCCUAGGUAUGGUUUUCCUUUUCUAUACAUAAGUCAUAUAUAUUUAUUUAUCUUAAGCACGAAAAUUGCUUUGCUCUAUUUUGUUUUGUAAACAGCAAGAUGCAUAGUGGAGGACAACAUGUAAAACUUACUUUUGAGCGUAUUAGAAAAGUCAUAUUUAAGCCUACCAAAACAAAACAAAGCAAUAUAUCAGGAAUAAACCCGUGGCGACCAGGAAUAGAUUAGCCUUUAGAGUGUUCACCUGUGAAAAGAUCGACAGUUUGAGGUGAUACUUGAAUGCUGGCCGAGUGAUGAUAUGCUAAGGUCAUUGUGAUAGAAAACUUAUUGCAGGCCAAUAUAUGCUUAUCUUGCUUAUAUGAUUUUCUGGAUGAACCAGUUGAUACACUGAUUUGUGGGAUUACAGAGCCUAAAAAACAAUUUUAAUUACAAUCACAGGCCAUAGCAUGGCAUGUUAUCAUUCUUAGAUGUUGUAUAUUGGACUUGGUUCCUUCUUCCUACUUCUAUGAUUAUUAGAAAGAAUGGAGAAGCUAAAACUUUAUUAUCUUGGUAAUAUUGCCAACCUCUCAAAUAUACAUUACAGGGCCUGUUCUUCAACGGAAGGGAAUGAGCUUGUGACUUAGGCUUUUGUGAGAUAAUAGAUAAUACAUUCUAUCUGUUUAUUAAUUAAAGAACAUGGAGGAAAAACUUAUCUUGAUAAUUAAAUAUCUUCGGUCAAGGCCUGACAAGUUCUUGACUUGGGAGAAUUUGCUUCAGGAACUUGGAUUCCCUCUGGAAUAUUGGAAGUAGAAACCAUGGAACAACAAUGAUCAUGUCCGAGAAAGAUAUACCUCUUUCGGGAUGAGCUGGUCUUUCGCCUAUUGCAUAUCAUAUGUGAUGAAACAUCUGGUUAAAUAAGUCCUGAACUCAAAUGUGAUUCAAAAGGAUACUAUUGAGUAAUUAUACAUGUGACAAGUUCAGAAGAUGAAACUAUGUACCUCACAAUGAAAUGGCGAGAAAAUGCACACCGCAUAAUAUGAUAUUUCAUACAUCAGGUAUGGCGAGAGAUCAUAUUGGCAUAGCAUCAUCUUAGGCUUUUGAACUUCGCUGUGAUAACAAUUGACGUAGGACAGCUUAGAGUUUAGGAAUAAAGCACUUGAUUAACACUUGGAGCACAUGAUUAAGUAAUAGUUGGCCUGGUUUCUGGUCAAGAUGACUCAAUUAUCUCAACUAAAGCGGUCAUUAACCCUUGAAGCUCUUGAUUCAUGUCACUCAAAAGCUUGACUUCCAAUUGCAUCAAUGAUCUAUUAAAUAAUUAGGUUCUUGAAGUUUUAAUAUGAAGUGCAUUGCACGAAAGGUGGUUUUUCCUGAUAAAUUCAGACUACUGAAAUAUUCAAGUGUUGAUACAAUUUUUUUUGUGUCAGAUUCCAGUUAUUUUUAUCUUCAUAUUCAUCACAUAAUAUUGUCUCAUGACACGUUCUGUGUACCAGGGUAUAUGAUGACCUUCCUCUCUACGACAUACUGAACGAAUUUCAAAAGGGCCACAGUCACAUGGCUGUGGUUGUUAAACACAAUAAGGAUAUUGGACAAACAACAGAAAAAAGCAAGAGCAAUAUUUUAGAGAAUAGAAUGAACCAGAAUAGGAAACACAUGCCAGCUGAUGGUAUUCCUGGUAUGAAUUAUGACAUCACACAUUAUUAAAGUUGGCAUAAUUGAAUUAUUACUUAUAACUGAAAUGUUAUGUAUUCGAUCCCUUUUUAUAUGGAACCGCUUGUGCAUAGUGAAAAACUAGUAAUUUGUGUCGACAAGGUAGUGAUUACUGAUUUUCCAGGAGACGGAUCUCAAUUAGUUUUGACUGAGCAUUUGGGUGUCAUUACAAAAGCAUCCCCUGUGAAUAGUAAUGUCCCUGAUAGUCAGAGUCAUGUGAAACGAAGCAACAUGGAGAAACAUGGAGAGGUGCGUUCACAAUUGAAGAAGUCGGAGCGAGGACGGCAUGACAAUAUUCUUGAUGUUAAUUUGGAUCCCCUUCCAAGCUAUUCAGUUGAUGAAGAAGUGAUUGGAAUUAUAACAAUGGAAGAUGUUAUGGAGGAAUUGCUACAGGUUGAAAAUCUUUUAGCGGACAAUAUUUCUAAUGAUUUUUAAGACUAACCAUGAUGAAAUAUGCUUUAUCUCGAAUCUGAUUGCUCCUAUCAUGAUAUAUGUAGCCAUUGUUUAUACAUUGCGUGUGCUUACAUAACUGGCAUUAACUUGACAUGUAGAUCUCCUGCUUCUGUUUGAUAUGCAUUGUGGAUCUGAUUCUUCAUCUAUAUUCCUGAUUCUUUGGUCAGUAAUUAUGUACGUAAAGAUGUAGAUCCACCUUUGGGAGUUCCUAGUGCAAUAUUUACGAACUUUAGUUACACUAGCUUUUUAGUAGAGCAAGUAGAACAUGCUUGUAUCAAUACAAGGUUCGUAUAAGGUGAAGAAGAAAAUCGAUUUAAAACAGUCUCCAGUAUAGUGUGGAGCCCAUGCUCUUCCACUUGAAGAUUACUAAUGAUGUAAUAAUAGAUUUAGCUUUUCGUAAGUUAAGGUAAGAUCUCUUUCACCCUGAUACAUACAGUUGCACAUACACAUACAUACAUAUUGCUCUAAACAUGGCAUAAUAUUCUUUUGAAUUGUUGUUGUUGACAGCUCUGCACAAUGAUGAUAUUGGUAUACUGAAUUUCUCUCAACUUCCAGUCAGGUUUAUCUUGGUAUUUAUAUAUAUCAAUUGAAUUAUUAUGUGAUGCAUGCAAUUUUUGCUUUUCUUUCUUUUGUAAAUCCAGAAACUGUAGUUUGUUGAGUGCACUUAAUUUCUGGUUCAUGGAACUGAAUUUAGCAGUAAAUGUAUGUCUUCAAACUACGUUAAAUUAUUUCAAACAUGAAUUGAACCGGAUUUUUUUAAUCAAGUAGUUGGGUUUCCAUAAAGAUGGCCUCUUUGUUACAUUAUUCCAUACAUGAAUGAAACCAGAUUUUUCUAAUAAAGUAAUUGAGUUUGCAAAAGAUGUUCUAAUUUUGACAUGCUUGACUCAUCAUUGGUUUCUUACACUCUGAUGCUAUCAGAAAUUAAAAUGCACAUAAUUUGAAUUAACAGGUUAGUGUACAAUCAAAAUAUAGAUAUUUGUUGAAGCACAAAUACUGCAAUGUUCAGGUAUCAUGACUUUGCUGCUUCUCGAAGUGCAUGACUUGAUGGAUGCUAAUCCAUUUGAGUUGUAUGGCUUACUGAAAAUCUAACUUAGAGCACAAUCCAGGAUCAACUUUUCUAUAAGCCAGUCAUUUUUAAGGUGACAGAAAGUAGUUUUAUCCCUGAUCACAAAAAAUGAUUUAGACUUUUGAGUUAUGCUAGAAUUCUUUGGGUUUCUUUUUUCUUUUUUUUUGCUUAAAGCAACUAAUUUUUUCUUAGGUUAAGUAACUCUACCAAUAUAUGGAGGGGAACGUUUUGAGAUUUUAUCAUUUUACUUGUUGAAUUCUAAAUUCUCUUCCUGGUGAUUCCAUGUGAUUAUGUUCUCUUUUGUCCUUCUUUCUAUUUGCUCCUUCCAUCUCCUCUGUCCCAUAACUUGCCUGCUUCACCAAUAGACUCCAUCAUCUGGUCUUAAGGCAAAAUGAAACAAGUUCUCUCAAGGUUAAUGUGUCAGUGAAUGCAUAUAGAUAAGCUGGGAUGAUGUACAGAAGACUUUGAGAGUCAUUAAGAAGAUGGUUUCUAAGAUAGAGCUAGAUUACCUUGUUCUUCGUGUUUCGAUGUUAAGGCUGCAUUCUUUGGCCUAGCCUUUGCGUCCUUUGAUUUAGGCUUUAUAAUGGGGCAAUACCUUUUAUCUUCUUCUCUAUCUUCUUCCUUGAAACUAAAGUGAGAUCUAAUUUAAGUAGAACAUGAUAUUAUCUUAUUUUGCCUGCACCUGACAUUUGAAGGUUUUAAAUGGUUUCUUCCAGAUCCUUUAUAAUAAAGUAAUUGAGUUUCCAAAAGAUGUUCUAAUUUUGACAUGCUUGACUCAUCAUUGGUUUCUUACACUCUGAUGCUAUCAGAAAUUAAAAUGCACAUAAUUUGAAUUAACAAGUCAGUGUACAAUCAAAAUAUAGAUAUUUGUUGAAGCACAAAUACUGCAAUGUUCAGGUAUUAUGACUUUGCUGCUUCUCGAAGUGCAUGACUUGAUGGAUGCUAAUCCAUUUGAGUUGUAUGGCUUACUGGAAAUCUAACUUCGAGCACAAUCGAGGAUCAACUUUUCCAUAAGCCAGUAAUUUAAGGUGACAGAAAGUAGUUUUAUGCCUGAUCACGAAAAAUGAUUUAGACUUUUGAGUUAUGCUAGAAUUCUUUGGGUUUCUUUUUUUUCUUAAAGAAACUAUUUUUUUCUUAGGUUAAGUAACUCAACCAAUAUAUGGAGGGGAACAUUUUAUGAUUUUAUCAUUUUACUUGUUGAAUUCUAAAUUCUCUUCCUGGUGAUUCCAUGUGAUUCUGUUCUCUUUUGUGCUUCUUUCUAUUUGCUCUUUCCAUCUCCUCUGUCCCAUAACUUGCCUGCUUCACCAGUAGAUUCCAUCAUCUGGUCUUAAGGCAAAAUGAAACAAGUUCUCUCAAGGUUAAUGUGUCAGUGAAUGCAUAUAGAUAAGCUGGGAUGAUGUACGGAAGACUUUGAGAGUCAUUAAGAAGAUGGUUUCUAAGAUAGACUUUGAGACUUUGAGAGUCAUUAAUGUGUCUGUUGUUUGUGUUUCGAUGUUAAGGCUGCAUUCUUUGGCCUAGCCUUUGCGUCCUUUGAUUUAGGCUUUAUAAUGGGGCAAUACCUUUUAUCUUCUUCUCUAUCUUCUUCCUUGAAACUAAAGUGAGAUUAAAUUUAAGUAGAACAUGAUACUAUCUUAUUUUGCCUGCACCUGACAUUUGAAGGUUUUAAUGGUUUCCUCCAUAUCCUUUAUAAGAAAGUAAUUGAGUUUCCAAAAGAUGUUCUAAUUUUGACAUGGUUGACUCAUCAUUGGUUUCUUACACUCUGAUGCUAUCAGAAAUUAAAAUGCACAUAAUUUGAAUUAACAGGUCAAUGUACAAUCAAAAUGUAGAUAUUUGUUGAAGCACGAAUACUGCAAUGUUCUGGUAUCAUGACUUUGCUGCUUCUCGAAGUGCAUGACUUGAUGGAUGCUAAUCCAUUUGAGUUGUAUGGCUUACUGGAAAUCUAACUUAGAGCACAAUCCAGGAUCAACUUUUCUAUAAGCCGGUCAUUUAAGGUGAUAGAAAGUAGUUUUAUGCCUGAUCACGAAAAAUGAUUUAGACUUUGGAGUUAUGCUAGAAUUCUUUGGGUUCCUUUUUUUUUUUGCUUAAAACAACUAAUUUUUUCUUAAGUUGAGUAACUCAACCAAUAUAUGGAGGGGAACGUUUUGUGAUUUUAUCAUUUUACUUGUUGAAUUCUAAAUUCUCUUCCUGGUGAUUCCAUGUGAUUCUGUUCUCUUUUGUGCUUCUUUCUAUUUGCUCCUUCCAUCUCCUCUGUCCCAUAACUUGCCUGCUUCACCAGUAGACUCCAUCAUCUGGUCUUAAGGUGAAAUGAAACAAGUUCUCUCAAGGUUAAUGUGUCAGUGAAUGCAUUUACAUAAGCUGGGAUGAUGUACAGAAGACUUUGAGAGUCAUUAAGAAGAUAGUUUCUAAGAUAGAGCUAGAUUACCUUGUUGUUCGUGUUUCGAUGUUAAGGCUGCAUUCUUUGGCCUAGCCUUUGCGUCCUUUGAUUUAGGCUUUAUAAUGGGGCAAUACCUUUUAUCUUCUUCUCUAUCUUCUUCCUUGAAACUAAAGUGAGAUUUAAUUUAACUAGAACAUGAUAUUAUCUUAUUUUGCCUGCACCUGACAUUUGAAGGUUUUAAAUGGUUUCCUCCAGAUCCUUUAUAAUAUUCCUACUUGAAUUUGUUGCCUCUUCAACCUCAUCUACACCCUUCUCUUUACAAAGAAUUUUUAGUUUUGUUUUGUUUUUGUUUUUCUAAGCUGUAACUAGAUUCUAUGGAUUACAUGAAAGUAUACGAUAUUAUUUAGUAUAUAUGUAUCGCUACCUAGAAUAUCACCAAAAAAGGCUAAUUAGAAAGCUAUUAAUUGGGGUCCUUGGCCCUACUUAAAAACCCAAGACCUCCCCAAUGCAUAAUGAUCUGAGAAUAAACAUAUGCCUGCAUAGGUCCUCACUCUCAUCAUUUAAGCCUUGAUAUCCUCUUUAGGGAAGAGUCCAAUCGGAAAUAGAAACACCAUGAUUGGAUUGUAACUAUAAGGGCCUUGUGCUGCAAUGUCCCCUAGUCUAUAUGGGCUGUGGGCCGAGUUGGCUCUAAGAUCAUUUGUAACAAUCUAGGAUCUCAGAAGGUGAGCCAAAAAGUUAUUAAUGGAAGUUUUUGGCCCUGCAUAAAUACCCAAGAUCUCCUUAAUGCACAAUUGAAGGGGGGCUAACCACAUGCCUGCAUGGGUCCUCAUAAUAUGCACGAGUAAUAUAUGAUUGUCAAGUUUGACUUUGAUUGAGGAAGACUGUCCUUUUGUCAAUAGCUUUAGGUUGUUUUGAUUAAUGAUUUAGAUGAUCUUGAGUUCAGAGUGUGAAGAAGAAGUUCCGCACUACCAAAGCAAAUGUUGUAGGAGAAAAAUCAAUUGAUUUUCUGAGUUUUCUUCCUUUGAAAUACAUAACUCAAUGCCUAUCUGUUUAAUGUAUUGAACACCUUAUGGAGAAUAGACAGCUACCUUUGCGCCUCAUGACUUACUAUUUGUAGAUUUUUCCAAGUUAUUUAGAUGUCUAAUGUUGCUGUGUGUGUUAAGAAAAUUUAGGAGUAAUGUAAUCAAGCCAGGGAUCUACGUAUGGUCUAUCUUCUACAGAAUUUAAGAGAUCGAUGUUGGGCAGGCCACCUUAGCAAAUUGUUGACGCAUGUAUUAAUUAUUUUAGUUAGUAAUGUCUACGAGUGAUCUACUUGGUUGGUGUAAGAUCAUCUUCCUAACCAAUUUUCUAUCCUUGUUCUUUUAUUUAUCGAUUACUCUUGGGCCCAAUUUCAAUAUGUGAAAAUAUUAUUUUUCUACUUUACCAGGGUGUCCAUAUCCACAAUCUAAAAUAAUUUUCUAUAAAUUUAGAUAAUAAACUUUUCUAUCAUACCAUGAUGUAGAGAAUAUGCAGAUUCAUUUGGGACAAUAAUUUGAUAUUUUACAUGGAAAAAGCUACUGAAGGUUUUAACCAUAUAUCUGAUAUAUGAAAGAGCAAGACAGGUCGAAUUCCAAGAUUUUCAACAUGUAUUACAAUUUACUUGUAAGAAUUACGUAAUAUGAUUCUUUUCAUAGUAUACGGUUACAUUAGAUUAGAUUGCACCUUGUGAGGACCCGAAACUUGAUUUACAUGACAAUAGUUAUAAAACUGGAUCGGCCUGGCUAGUUUGAUUGGAAAACCGGUGAACCGGAUCCCUGGCCAGUCUGGUUUUUACCUGGGACUGUAAUUGUUUUUGGACUAGAUAGAACCCGCCGACCCACCCAUUUUCUUAGAAAAGGUGACCCGGUCCAAACCGAGUUCAAAAAUUGUAACUAAAAUGCAUUUAAAACAGUAUUCAAACCAGUGUCUUGUGAGAGGUUUCUAGCCGCUCAGCCAUUGGAGUAGACUUUGGGUCGGUAUGACUAUGAUUCUUAAAAUAUUUAUGGUGGAACUCGUUCAACUAUAUUAUCAUAUUUCGGUGAUAAUUUCAAAAGCUUAAUAGAUUCUACAUAUUUUCUAUAUUAUAUUUUUUAGUAAAUUUAAAAUAAAUUAUUCAUCAUUAUUUUCUAUUUAUAAUGCAAUUAAACAUUAAUAUAAAAUAUAGAUCUAUGUUAUUUAAAGUGUACUUUAAAAUAAACAAUUCAUCACUUAUUAUGCAUAUUUUUCUAAUAUUGUAGCUAUUAUUAUUAUUUUUUAAUUAUAACCUAGUCUGACUGAUUGACCCUGCAGUUGGACCAAUGAUGCCGUGGCAUGGACCCUUGACUGGGUCAGUCACCAGUUUGAUUUUAAUAACUAUGGUGAUGAGACCAUGACUGUUAACUUGCAUCAAUCACCAUGAUGACAUUGAUGGGCCAGAAGCAUCACCAAGAGAAAUUAGCUGUUCUCAACAGAGAGGAUUCAAGAGAAUAGCUAAGAGGGAGAAAGUUAACAACAUUAAGUAUUUGUUCUAUGGUUUGGAUUUUUGCACUUUUUUAAAAAAUACUAUAAAGUAUGAGGCUAUUCAUCAUUAUUCUUGAUUUUUUGUAUCCUCAAAUUUUCAUUUAAUAUAGUAGUUAUGGUUUACUUUUUCAAGCGGUGAUAAAAACAAGGGAUAUACUAUUAGAAAUUAAGUUGAUUUUGGAAGAAACUAUUAGUGUUGUUACAAUAUUGACCCCAAUGGCCAUACUUAGCUCGAACUUAAAAUCAGAUUGGAUGAAUUUGGGGUCCUGCACACAAAUGCAAAAGCUUUGAAGAGUAAGAUGUUUGGUGGUAGUCAUAUUGGUAACAUGGAGAGAUGUUUGUUGGUGAUGAAGUCAAUGCAGUUGCUUUCUUGGAGCUUGUUGUGAAGUGGGCAGGUAAGGAAGGUUUGCUGCUUGUAUCUGUUUGUUACAGUGAAAUAGGCUUUUUCACUUACAAUAGUUGGCAGGUCAACUUGCAAGAAUGAUUGGACCAUGAUAUGAAGUCAGAAGAUAAUCUGCUGUUUUUAUCAUCCAAUUUUUAUGUUAUGAUCAGUGGGGUAUCUUGUUUCAUCUGCUUUUAGGUUCCUGGCAUCGUCAGUCUCCAUUGGGUUGAUUUUCAGAAAAGGAUCCGUGCUGGAUUCCUUAUUUUUAGGAAAUUUAUAUUCCUCAUUUUGCAUGCAUUCUUUCAGGUGCUUGUGUCACUACAGGUAUGGAUAUGUCCGAGACCAUGCAUGCAUAUUUAUUGCUGUGUGCAGUUACAGCUGCACAUUAACUGCCUACAGAGUCAGCAAUUUUAGUAUCAUUUCAUAUCUUUUGAAAACAAAUUCCCACCAAAUUGAUUUAUAUAGCACGAGUUCAUUAUGUCUUCCCUUUAUUUUGUGAUUGGCAUGAGGGUUUCUCAUUAUGCUUAUUAAAAUUCAUAUGUUAUAGUAUAUUUAUACUGAUCGUAGCAUGCUAAAGCUAAUACUUCUGUUUGAAUUAUCUUUGAAGGAAGAAAUAUUGGAUGAAACAGACGAGUAUGUUGAUGUCCACAACAAGUAAGCCACAACCAUGCGAAUUCUCUGUUUUGCUGCAAAAUUUCUUAUUGUUUUCAAAGGGCUCAUGGUUUCCUUUUUAGGAUCAAAAUAAAUAUGUUACCACCAGGAAGAUCAUCACCGAGAUCUCCAGGAGCUGCAUAUAUCUCUCAUUUUGCACGACGAACGCCAACAGCUUCUCCCCUUUCUCCCUAUCAUCAUACUGCCAUGUCACGCUCACCUGUUUCUCCAAACGUUCAAGCUGCUGCUCCAACAUCAACCAUUUCAAAUUCUCCUGGAAAGUCGUCGCCAAGUUCACCAGCUAAUCAUGCAGGCCUAAGCCACAAUUCACCAGCUUCAAAUCGAGUAAGUGGAAUACUCUUCAGCUUUGCUUUGCGGGGGGUCAUUCUUCCUGAAUGUCUGAGAGCAUUAAUUGUUGAUGCUGCUACUUUACUGGAACUUUUUAUACUAUGGAACUGUUCAUUCAGUCAUUUUGAUUACUGCAUUUUUUUCACUCUUUUAGUUGACUGAUAUCUAUGUCACCAUUCUUUGUCUCUGCUCUAUUUUUUCUGGUUACUUUUGCCCCUGUUCUCUACUAUGCAAUUAACCUAAAUUAUUGUACAUGGGGUGUUUCAGAAAGGGAAUAGAUAUGUUGGUUCUCUUGUCAUAUAAGAGACUCGAAAAGGUUUCCGGCCUUCUAUUUGGCAUGCUGCAUCUGGAAAUGUGCUAGUCUCGCCACAACUACUACUCAUAACCUGUAAAUGUACUCCAAACACAUAUUAGUUGGAUCAUAAACCUUUAAUUUCUGGUUCCUCUUUACAACCUUUCAAAUUCACCAAUAGAAGAUAGGGUACUGUUUUUUCUUUAAAAAAAGGUACUUUACUGAAUAAAACACCUCGUGUGGUCAGUAUGUGGUUUGUGAUAGAAUUAGUUUUCGUGACUUUCUUGAAUGGUGGUUGCAUUUGUAUGGUAGUACAAUAACAAUGUUACUUGAGAUUGACUUUGAUGAAGAGUACCUUACUACUUUCUUGAGUAGUUCUUAUUGGUACCUUCAUGGACAAUGCUAGUAGUUCUUAUUGGUACCUUAAUUGACAAUGCUUGUUUUUCCACGUGUUUGAUUAGCUUUGCUGCAAACUAGCAGGUCUCGAGAAAAUCAUAUGAGAAGCUACAAAAAAAUGGAGAGAGCAAGGAUUGAUUGCCUAUGCCGGCAAGUUGAAAGUCACUUAGUUAUGAGUACAUGGAGGUUAUGAUGGUGAUAUUAUGUGGAUGUUGGAUCAAUAGUUUUGGAAUCACUAUCAGAUAUUAAUCUUAGCUCACUAUGUAAUAUGUAUAUUGAUUAUUGCUUUUGUAUAUAGCAUGUGUUGAAAAAUCAGUCCAAUUUGAUGUUUUCAUCAUUUUAAAUGUUUCUAAUGACUACUUAUGAUAAUUUUACUUUAUUGAAAAUGGGGGAAAGGAAAACAUAGGUUGCAAAUUGUGUUUUGAGAAUGUCUCAAUCAUAUCUGCAAUCAUGACAAUUGUAGUGUCACCUUGCAAAUGGCUUGAUCAUUUCUGUUCAUUUUCCAAGUAUUUAAUGAAUAAUAAUGUUUCCUCUUGGGAGUUUGUGGUGAUAUGGCACGAUUUGUCAUUACCAUGUCAGAAAUAUCACAAUCAUCAUUAUCAUCAUUGUUCUCAUUUAAGAUUGAACAACAGUGCCAAGGUCAAAAACAGUAGUUUGAUUGCCUUGUUAACCUUAUUCCAAGUUUCUGGUGCAUAACUCAGCCUUAUUUGGUGCUUUCAUUGUUGUAGUUUACCCAAACUGCUGAGAUAUGGAUCAGAUGUAUAUCCACCAUAUCCACAUGCGUUUUAUUAUCAUGCUAUAAGGAUAUAAUUUAAAUGUAAAUUUCAAUGUUGAUUAUUGGUAAGGGAAUACAGAAACAGGUUGGAUAUAAGUAAGAAUAAUAACAGUUGGCGAUGAAAUGAAGCAGGAUAGCAUUCAUUGGCAACCUUCCGUUCAAAAAGGAACCGCAUGAACUGUAAUUGGAUGCCAACAAUGGCUAUAUCCGACAUUAACAAAUGUGGAUUACUAAGGCAUUCAUACAUGGGUUACCUAGGUAUCAGGAAAUGUCAUCAAUCUAAAACUAAUAGCUGGAUCCGAUAAAAUAUGGGGAUGUUUAAUGAACUUAUGUGUAUUUUGUGCACGAAGGAAAAUUUGUAACAAUAGCAGCAAGAUUUGAAUGCUGACGAAGUUAGAUGGCGCAUUUUAUCUAUGUGGCUGCAUGUAUUUUGUGGAAUCCCAGAUGCUGAGAUAAUAAUAUGUGAAUCUAGAUAGAUUCAGAACCUGUGGAUUCUAAAUUUAAUGAGAUAUAUUGGUAGAAUACUUUAUUAAAAAUUUAAUAUUUAACAUGUACCCUGGCAUCUAACACA